rnacentral:lncRNA from 1 species
UUUUAUAAAUCUAUGCGAGUUUUGCAACAAGUGCAUGUAAAACGGGAAAUCCAGCAUGUUAGUUGCAUGGUAAUAGUUUAAUAAUAUUACCACAGCUGGUCCUGCUUCACGGUGACCAUGGUGCAUCGGAUAAUCAGUAGGUGUUCCAACCCCAAUUUGGCCAUUGCUUUCAAGGAGAGCUUGCUGUUGAAUCUCAUGAUGAGCCUGUUUCUGCUGUUCAUCAGUUCCCUGGUUAUCUGAACACAAUGAAAUGAAAUAUACAAUGACUGAUACAGAAAAUGCACUCGAACUCAUUUAAAAGAGACCGUAGUACACUCAUCUACAUAUUUUCAACAAAAAUAACAUAUCCAAAUACCCCCCCAAAAAUUUGCUUGGAAUGCAUGCACCAUUUGAUACAAGGAAUUUGCCAAAACACCAAUAUCCCAGCAUCCAAAAAUAAGCAAUUGUGCUAGUACACAGGGAACUUAGUUGAUUUCGCUCCAUCUGCCUAUAAAUCAGUUUUCUGCAUUGCUUCUAGUAUACACAGUAACAUAAACUCACACUCGUAAUUAUAAGUGCAUUAAAAUCAUUUAUAUAUAUUAUGUUGAACAUAUGAGCAGUUGAUUUUAUGCUAAUUUGGGUGGAAGGUGCAGUACCUGACAGAUGUUGCACUGAAGAAGUCAUGAUCUUCUAAUUCCAGACUAAAACAGAAAGAAGAAAAGGCAGCAGCUUCAGAUUCAAGAUAAAAAGAGAAACCAAGUAACCAAACACAGAGCCCGGCGUAAAUAUAGCCACAAAAGAGAUUAGUUCAUGAAUUUCCCAAAAUAGCAAACAUGAUUCUUUUUUUUCUUUUUUCUUUUUUUCUUUUAGCCUAUAAAAUCAACAACUUAUCAGCAGAACAAAUUUCAAUAAGCAGAUUGGAAUGAAGAAGUCAUUCACUACAGAUAUCACUGUGUUAUUUAAACUGAAACAACAUAGAAGGAAUCUAAGUUCUCCAAAUUUCAGCCGACAAACAAGAAGAUGAAUUCGCGAUUAUGAUAUGUCAUCACAGACACAAUUUUUAUGCUUGAAAACAAUAAUACUCUGCAUAGAUUCGAUUAUUUUUCUUUUUGAAUGUAAAGCACAAGAUGAAUUUUCGCGCGAAUCAUUAAAGGAAUAAGAAAAAUAUAGAGUACGAACUCAUAUCCCCCCACACGACCACUACUUUGGCGAUCAACCCAAAUCAAGCUCAAUUGUCUAAACCAACUGCAACAAUCACAAAUGCUACGACCAAUCAUUCCACCGUUCGCAGAACGACCAAUCAAGUAUCAGAUACUCCACAUACACUCCACACGAAUUCAAAUCUCAUAUAAAAUCCAUCACACAAGAGUCAUCAGAUUCAAACGGAGAUCACUGCAACAAAACGCAGAAUCUAAGCUAGUUCAAUUCCAGGUUCAUCAAAAUUUGGGAUAAUUCUUCAAAUCCACAAAAAUAAACUCACAAUUCUUUAAGGAACAGAGCCGCGUCACAAUCGAACAUUUGGGGUUUCAACCGGAAAUAAAGAUUGAUUUGGAAUGAACGAUUCGAUUUGGGACGAAACCCUAGAUCGAACGAAACUAAUUAUAUUAUAAUUAAUUAAUAAUAAUACGUUUCCGUACCUGUAUCGUUUUGGGAGUAAGUGGAGUUCCUUCGUUGGGGGAACUCCGAAACGGAUCUCUUCUUCAGCGGGAAGUGUACUUCCUCUGUACUAAACCCCUCCUCGCCAUUUAUCCGCUUCGGGUUAGAGAUUCAAAGCAUAAAUAUUUAAACAAAUUUUUAUUUCCCUUCACCACAAAAUAUACGAAUAGUCCCUGUAUUAUCCCGCUAUUGAUACUCGGGUCCUUUAACUUAUAUAUAGUGUCACACUUUAACCCAUCAUCAUUUAAAUUAGAUCCUACUGAUUUUUUUAAUAUCGUACCUGUUAUUUCAAAGAAACAAAAGUUCAAACUUGUUCUUGCAAAGUGAUCACUGAAUCCUUGUCAGUUGAAAUAAGAUUGAAAUGAUUAUUAUAGAUAAAGUAGCAUUUUUUUUUAAAAAAAAAGCUUAUAGAGACUAAAUUACUUAAGGGUGAGUUGAAAUAUUGGGAUAAUACAGGGGAUAUCCAUAAAGUUUACACAGCUUCUUAUUCUGGAGAUAAAACGAGUGAUCUUGGCCGUUCGUUUCGAUAGAGAGAGUAUCGCGGGCAGCGGCAAAGCUGCCCGAAGGCCGGGGACGGGCAGAACGGGCAGCGUCUGGUGUCCACUAACGGAUCGGUGGGGUCCACGCUCACAGUUGGCGUGUGAGGAGUGGUGAAGGGGCUACCUGCCCGCUGACCGCGGUCAACCGUGUUCGGUGGUUAGUCGUCCACGUGUCCCCCUCUUUGUUCUUGGUUGGACAGGUGUGCUUCGGUCAAUUCCGGCCGUCUGAUAUCAGAUUGAUGUGAUCGACGGCCUACACGUAGUGCGAGGUGUCCCGUCUAUUUGUACCGUCGGAUGUAAGAUUGAGAUGUGACAGCUGUUGCGACGUGGCGGGAUACAAGGAAAAUAAUAUACCACAGAAUUAAAGAAGUUUGUGCUUAACCUCUGAAUGUCUCUUUUUAAUUAUUUAUAAUAAUUUUUAGAUUAAUAUUAUUAUUCUAAAAAGAUCAUCCAAUUCUAGAAAAGAACAUUAUCAUCCCAACAGCAUAAUUUUUUAUCUAAAAAUUAAAAAAUCAAAAAUACGAACCACCUUAUACUUCAAAAAAUAUAGUAGCCCUAUAUUAUAUAUGGAUGUAUAUAUAAGUUUACGCGGUGUUAAGCCAUGUGGGCUCCGCAAAAGUCGGAGAUCGACCUUACACGAACUCACGACUUACCUUACACGAACUCACGACUUUCGUGUCGGACUUCGGUCUAAACGAACACGCCCAAACGUCGAGGUGGCAUCAGGAGCCAAUUUUAAAAAACUCAGCACGAUUUUUGAAAAGAAGUAUACUUUGAAACCUGCUUGUGGGAAAUGCUGCUUAUAAAUAGCUUUUCGACAAUUCCAUAAAAAAUUUAUAUACUAAAACCAAGUAACACACUCUCUGAAUGCAAUAAAUAUGAAUCAAGCGACAAUCCAGUACGAGAGAAACUAUUUCUUAAAGUAUUUAACAAUAUUUUAAAUUUAAAACCAACCAGCAUGCACACUCCUCCGUUACAACUUUAUUACAGCUUUAUCCUCGCAAUGAAUGAAGCAGGUAGCUCGCUACCUAUUUCAAAACAACGAAAAUAUACAACCAGCUUAACGUUAUUUUGUGCUAAUGAUGUGAUUAGUAUGCUAUCUGAGACAUUGGAGGAAAUUGAAAAAUAGCUGCUAUAAAAUGUGACCAGAACCAACAACAUUUCAAGCAUUCAUUUGGAAAGAAAAUGAAGUUAAAAUAUAAUCACACCUUCCUAUCUUCUAUUUGUUGGUCAAGUCUCUUAUAGCCUUUAAAAGAACAAGCAAACAUCAUACAGAAUUCAUCCAAAGAAUUGAAUCUUUUGAGACCACAACCAUUUUUGUUGUCACACCUAUAAAUAAGGGAAAAAAAUGAAUAAAGGGAGAAGAAAACUAACUUACAAGCAUAUGAUGUCGAAGGGGGAGAGAGAGAGAGGGAGAGAGAGAGAGAGAGAGAGAGCGCUCAGAGAACCGUAGAUAACUGUUUCUUGUGUUUUGAUGCCUUCAAUUGCGGCUUCUCGCUCCUCAGCUGCUCGCUGACAGAACUGUCUUGGGCGCUGCACAUCUGCGACUUGAUUUUGAAUCCCAACUUUCUUGAGACGUUGUUAUUCCGGCGAUGUGUUAUUCGACCCAACUUCUCAAUUUCCUGCUUCAUGCUCAAGCACUCCUUUUCGAGCUCCGAGACCCUCAUCCUCAUGUUGUCCAUGCUCACCUUCAAUACUUGGUUCUCCCUGACAGCCGUGGCCCAACCCCCACCGCCUUCGCCUGAAACCGCUAACCCACUCCGUAAGGGCCUUGAUCCAUCGAGAUUAUCAGAGACAAGUAAGCAACCCGCGAUCGAGGUCCGAAGUUGUAGCUGUUCGAAGAAGAGGACUUGAACGACAAUCCGUAGUGGAAGCCGCUCGUUUUGAGCGGCGUGAGUGCACGCUUCUAGGGAGAGUUUCUGGCAGUCCAUAAGCCGGCAGAGCUGCUCUCUCUCGGAUUCCGCUAGCCAAGGGUGUGCCUGUGGGUGUUAAAAUUGGUGUAAUUUAUGAAUCAAUGUAAUGACAGUGCCUUGGACACAGGAUCAUUGGCCUGGUAUUACAAGUUAGUCUAUGAAAAGUUCAGCGACUAGGUUGCAUCCGUACAGACCCGACCAAAGAAUUAACGACAAGGAGAUGAUUUUAUCAUGACACAAUGCAGCAGCCCAUCGAACUUUGGUUUUGAAAUUCUCCAUAUAUGAGAGAAAAAAGCAUCGAAGUUGUCACUCAUCUGGGAAAAUCUUCAAAACAUUCUAAGACAACGGAGUUCUGAAAAGAAGCAUUGCUUUCAACUACCACAACAGAAAUAAAAUAGAAGUGUGCCAAGUGGCUAACAAUUACCUUCAAAUAAAUGUCAAUUGCAUGGUAAAGUCCAUCAUCCAGCGGCCGGGCAUAAUCGGGUACAGCAGCAGCAAGAGAUCGAAACUUCUGUGGUUUUAAAUUGACAUCCGGUGCGACCUCUGCGAGAUAAGCAUCAAGUAGCUUGGCUACAUUAGUUAUCGGCGCCAUUGAAUGGGAGCUUGCCGACUGCUCCUCAUCAACCUCAGAUGGGGAGGCCGCACCAACAUUAGCCUGAUCCAUGGCCAAGAAAUGCUCAAGAAUUCUUUGUACGCAAUCGACAUCAUAAAGCGUUUCAGUCGAGUCGGAGAAGUUCGGCAGCAAUAGAUCUUCCAAGGUAGCAUGAUCGAGCUGCAUUCCGAUCCUUCUUUCCAAAUUAGAAAUGCAGGACUCGUCAGCUCUUAGGAUCAUGGCGGUUCGAAGAAGUCCGAAUAGAAUUUUUGUAGAGAUUAAGCCCUUUUCGAGGGGUAGCAAUCUUUCAAUCUCUUGAAGAAGCUGCCUUUGUUCUUCUUCAGGUGGCACAGAUGUUAAAGGAACAGAUCCCAAACUAUGCCGCCUAUGCAAUCCAGGGAGAUAUUUUUUAGCAUAACAUGUUAAGGACCCCGCAAUAAUCUCCCGUCUGAUUCCCCGAGAUUCCAUUACAGAGAUUAGUCUUGUAUGCAUAGGGAAGCUCAAGGAUGAAACAUCAUCGAACCACCAAUCUGAACUACUAUUUCUGGGCCGAGCCCCUGUGCUUAUUCCAUUCCACAAAACACUCCCUCCUGGGCUCUGCAUGGUUCCAUGCUCCAUUAUGGGCCAGCCAAAAAGGUUCGGAUCUGUGCAAGCUUUAACAGCUAAUGAUUCAAUGCAUUUCUUCACGAUAUUUAGAUUUUCAGCAUAAGGGAGGAGAUCGUCGCAUGUUUUAAGGGCUUUUAGUGAAUCUUUCCAGCUACGGAGAACUACUUGGUUGAGGAAUAACUCGGUCUGGGCAAUCAGGUUGCCCUCGUGGAUUUCUUCGGUCAUUUCGAGAUACUCAGCUGCACAUCGGAGGUAGACGACAUUCGAGGCAGUGAGCUCUAGCUUUACACCAUAGCAGAACCUGGCCACAAGCUCAAAUGAUUUCGCGCCGCCUGGAAUAUCGGGUAGCUUUAUGAUGCAGCCAUCAUCUUUGUCGGAAUUCUCCGUUAUCAGUUUCUCCAAGAGGCCGCUUUUGGAUAUCAGAGGGAACUGCAAGCAUGUAACCAUAUAAUAGUAAAAACAUCAUAAAUGCAACACAAACAUCAGUUUAUCAUAGGUAAAAACCUACCGAUCCUACAUGUACAAUAGGCAUAUUAAAACGGGUACAAGAACUUACAAAAUUUUGACGUUAGUACCUAACCUUGCAAUGUGGUUGAUUUGCAUAAUUCUACAUCAAAUUAAAAUUUAACAGGAUAUUUAAAACUUUUACAGAAUAUUCUGUAACUUGGGUGAAUAUUCCACAUCUUCUUUGAUUGAAAUAGUUAAGUUUUAAGAAAGCUUUACAAGUUUUUCUGAAAUAAUAAUCAAUGAAAAGUUAGGUAGGAUAAUAAAAAAAAAUUUAAGUACAGAUGCCCAUUUCAGAAUGCAGCAUAGGUUUGUAUGUUAUCAAUUUAUAUUAUACGUAUAGCAAAUACGCAUUUAUGAAACAAUCACCUUGUGAAGGUGGAAGGACAUCUCACCAACUUCAACAGUAACAUCACUGGGGAGUCCGGUUGUACAGAACCUACAGUAUCCAAAAGAGAAUAAGCGACCCGCAUGUAACAUAGAUAUCAGCAAAUGCAAAAAAUACAUCAUACAACUAUCUCCAGAUUAUACUUCGUAUUGCAGAUACACACCAGUGGAAAUGCAAUAAGUGCGUGCUAUGAUAUACCAGUUCUUAUAUCUUUCACGUUCCUUUUUUUAAAAAAAAGAUUUCAUCAUUUUCAAUCGACAAUUGAAGUCAAAACCAAAAUCUAAAAUGGCCAAAAUCACCGAAACCACCAAAACCAAAAUUCUAUGUCUCCAUCAGCCCAGGCUGAAGCCGAUAUUUCAAACCUUGGGUAAACGCAAUAACACAACGAGAAUGAGCACUUUUAUUAAAUGGACUAAAUCGACGAUACAGAACAAAUUCCUUGGAAUCAUGUAUUCAAACAGGGUACAGGACAAUCAAUGAGUUCAAAUUCAUACUUAUCCAAUCAGUAAGAGUGCAAGAUGCUGUCGACAAUACUUAAACAACUCUAGCAGUUAUUGGGUUGGAAGACAUUGUGUAUAUCUCUUAUUUAUUCUGGUAAAAUGUCGUCACUCGAAAUCAAGACUUCUUAGUGGACUUAUUGAUGUAAAUCAUGUACAAGUGCAAAUAGUUCGAAGUUCCAGAAAAUUGUCAAGAAGAUCCCCGAGUUAUAAGCCAAAACUAAAGUCGACAUAUUAUCUCUCUUAUGAAGAGACUAUCGAAGAUCCAGAAAUCAGAAGGCGGAUAGAGAAGAAUUGCGGCAUAAUACUAUAAAUCCUAGAAAACACUAUCCAAUUAAGCAGAUAUUUGAGUCAAUAGAAACUACUCAAAGAUCCUGCAACACAAUCUUUGCAUAAUUUACUACUACAAAACACAAAUUUGUCGUAUCAUCAUGCUUAUAUACAAAUAGUGUAACAAAAUUUUCAAUUUGCAGAUUAUAAUAUUACUUGCAAAAAUUGAAAAGGGAAAAUAAACAUGGGAAAAAAGCAGCAAAAUAAUUAUGGAAAUGGGAAACAUGGGCAUACCAGGCUUGCCCUUGUCUUCGGAAUGUAUCGGAUUUCGAUCCCAAUUUCAUACCGGCCAUCUUCAGAAAACGUAGAUUGGAACUACAAGGUGAAUAAUCGCUUAAUUUUUUGUUAAAAAAAACCUAAUUUUCCACCCUUGAAAUACCCACCAAUCUUAAGGAAACCUACUCUGAAUCGGAAAAUAUGCCCCCAUAGUUUACUCGCGAAGCUGAGAUUUAAGAAAAGCCCAAAAAAACCAUCCUCAAAGAGAAACCCUAAAAUCAAAGAUGAGCAAUUAAACCACCCCCAAAAACCCCAACAAACACCCCCUAAUCCACUCUCAAUAAAACUCGUUCCCCAGCCUAAACUACCAAAAUUAUUCACUAAAUCGAUCAAUUUGGGUCAUAUACCCUACAAAAACCUUGACCUAAUCCCACCAAAGGCUCCAAAAUCUAAUCUUUUAGACCAGAAACUACAAAACCCACAUAUCCAAUUCCCCUCCCCUCACCAAACCCCCAUACACCUAAGAUUCCCCUUCAAAAUAUAAAAUAUAUAUUAAAAGAAAAACCAAAUUUGAACUAAUUAAACCACUAAAUCCAUCACCAAAUCUCCACAUAACUACCCAAGACACUCCAAUCCCUAGCAAAUCCCCCAAAAAACUCAGAUGGGUAAGAGAUUAACGCAAAGAGAACCCUCCCAAAAAAGAGCACUUUCUAUUCCGUCGCUUCCCCUCUCCUCUCAUCCAUAACCUUCCAAAAGUUGCAGCUACAUCCGCGUACAAAGGACUAGUGUGCAGAGUUAGAAACCGAAGGAGAGAGAGAGAGAGAGAGAGAGAGCCAAAGCUUCUAUCCAAAACAACAAAGUUAAAAAAAAGAAAAACAUUAAAAAAAGGUUGGGUUUUUGGCCUCUUUUGACCUUCUCCUUCGCUUCUUCCCCUCCCUGUCUCUCUCUUCUCUUUACUUUGUUUCUCUGUGCUUAUGACUUAUGAGUAGCUUCUAGAACUUUUGGGUCCACCUCUACAGAGAUUCUCUGGAAACAGUGGAAAGUGUCUAUACCCAACCUCAAUAAUACAUAGUUUGCAGUGAAAAUUAUAAAACCAAUAUAUAUAUAUAUAUAUUCCAGUUAUUAUCCUUUUAGGAGACGGAGACUUCAUUUUAUAUGAUAAAAAUUUUGAAUCGAUAAUUCAAAUUAUUAAAGUUAAUUUAAAAUAUUUAAAAUGUCUAGAAACUAUAUUUUAUAUAUUUUAAAAUUCGUUAUCAAGUUCAUUGAAAAUUAAAAAAUGAACAGUAAAAAACGAAUAAUCUUAUGAAAAUAGAUUUUAGACUUUUUAAAUUUAUAAUCAAAGUUAUCAAAUAUUAUUUAAAUAAUAUAAAAAAUUUUCUUUCAAAAAUUCAAGUUGUUUGUACUGUUCUAUGCCGUUAAACAAGCAAACGGCUCAUAUAGGCUAUAAAAUAUUAUUGAUUUUAUGAUUCUUUGAUCACUAUGUAAAUAAUUUUUAAAAUUUAUAAAAUUGUUUCUAGAUACUUUAAAUAUAGAUCAAUUUUAGCAAUUUUCAUCAUCGAUUCAAAAUUUCUAUUAUUUAAAGUAAUUUAGAAGUGCAGAAGUCUCCAUCCUUUUGAAAGAAUACUAGCUGGAUUCUCUCUCUCUCUCUCUCUCUCUCUAUAUAUAUAUAUAUAUUAGUGAUUCUCUCUCUUGUGCAGUACACAUUUGGGCAUUAAAUGUUCUCCACUAAUCCCAUGUGCAUUAUGGAAGUUUAAGAAUAUAAAAACAAUAAGAAAACAGAGUCAAUAUAAGUAAGGAAUCAACUACACCAAUGGUCCUAACUUUUAUUCUUUUUUAAUUUUUUACUUAAUCCUUAACAUUUUAAUUUUGGCAAUCAAAUUCAUGAUGCUUAUUACUUAUUUCAAUAGGAAUCGUUCAGUGAAAUUACCACGUAUGAGGUUUCAGUAGCAACAUAAUUAAUACAAUUUAGAGUAGAUGUAGUAGUUUUCGUCCAAAUUAGCAAACAUUUUGACAUAAAAAAUAUUUUAAAACAACCAACAAAUGUAAAGAAUUUAAUGUUUACAAGUUAUAAUUAUAAAUUUAUAUUUAUCUUCUCGUAACUUAUAUAUUUUUAUUUUUAUAAAGUAUUAAAAAGUAUGUAUUUGUAAGCACAAUGUAUUGUGGGAGCGUACAACUAAGAAAUCAUUUGGGUCGGAUUCGGGGACCAUUUAAUGGACGGAUGAGAUGGAUGGGUCCCGAUACGUGGAUGGUGCGCUGUGUGGCUUUGUGAGGUAGAGGGAUUUAUUAAUUAAGGAAUUUAAGAUGGAAUUUAUUUCUCAAUUAAUAUUACGUAUGUUGAUAAUAAUAAUAAUAAUAAUAAUAAUAACAACAAUAGUAACGGGGUGUCAGUGUGGGCGCGUGUAUUUAUCGCAUAAAUGGGGUUUUGUCGUUUUGUCAACUCUUUGGGACGCUAAGGCCGACUCCUGCGUGCCUUCUGGCCCUACGGUUUGACAAAAAAAAAACUACAGUGCAUCAUGGUUGACACUCUCGGUCUUAUACAGUCAUGUGUACUGUAACUUUUUUUUUCUUAUAUAUUAUGUUUAUUUUCGUACGUAAUAUUGUGUUUCGUAUAUCGCGAUAAAUCGGUUAUAAUAUAUUUUUUACGGUCCCAUUAAAAGUAUGUAGAAACAUAUUUUUAUAUGCUUUUAUUCCAACUCUAUUUUAUCUAAUAACGCCAGAUAGACCUCAAUACCGAACUAAGCCUAAUAAAAUUGUCUCCUUAAAAUGAUGUCCCAUUAUAAUUAAUAAAAAAAAAUAUUAUAUUUUUCUUUCCAAUAAAAAAAUAUAAUUAGUUUUUUACCGGUGAUAUAUUUAAAUGUGAUACAGUAAAUUUUCUUCUACGAUUUCUCACCUCCAGGAACUGAAAGUUCUUAAGAUUCUUCAUUAAUAACUCUUAAUUUAUUAUUAUAUAAUAUUUGUUAUUUUUAUUUAAAAUUAUAAUAAUUAUUUUUUUAAAAAAAUUAAUGUUUUAAUUAAUAAAUUGUUGAAUUAAGUUAAAACAGAUAGGUGACAGUGACACAGUGUACCGAACGCUCCGCACUGAAGUUUUUGUCUCUGCGACGUGGCAGGUGCUUAUAGGCUGUUUCUUGUGCUCGUGGGGACCUCUUCUUUAAUGUAGGCCAGCUCAUCGCUCGGGCAUUAAUUAAUAAUGGAUAGGAAAUUUUGGGACAAAAAUUUUAUAGACAAAAUCUUCAAACUAAUUAGUCUCCAUAAUUUUGAAAUUAUGCCGAUCGGCGCCACAUGGCCGAUCCGACGGUCACAAAUCUUAGUUGUUUUUUUUUUUCUCUAAAAGCAUAAAUUUUUUUUUUAUCUUUCCAUCCGUGGCCGUCGGAUUGGUCACAUGGCACCGAUCCGAAUUGGGGACUAUGCCUAUAAAAUUUCGUCCGAAAUUUUGGAUGACCACGUAAAGUUCUUAAAAAUUUUUAUGCACAUGAUAAUUUUAUUACACAUUUGUUGUUGUAGGAUGAAUUUGAGCAAUUUAUCCUGAAGGGGUCAUACUCAUCCCACCAGAGAUGUGCUAUGUGAUCAUUUAUUACACAAUUUUUUUUUGGAAUUUAAAUUAUGGGUCUCUUACCCUGGACACAUUCACAAUAAUUUAUGUUGAGACUUUGUUUUGAAUUACAAAAAUAAAUUUGUAACGUAUGGUGAAUAAUAUAAAAAAAAAAUAAUACGUAAUAUUGCAUUACUCAUAUACUAGUUCUAUUAAUUAGAAAAUAUAAAAGCAUAUUUUUAUAUAUUUUUACUUUAUUUUAUCUAUCAGUAGUAUUCCAAAUAAUAAUCAACUUUUAUAAAUAUUGAUUGUUUAUGUGUUAGUAAUUCUAUAGGCUUAAUUAUAUUCUGAUGCACUAUAUUUUAUAGGUUUUUUUAAAAUUUUCUAUAUUGUGCUAUUUUUUUUUUCACACACACGACUCAACUAUCAUUUUUUUUCAAAUCCUAGACUAGAAAUAAUAAAUCUAUAAUUUUAAAUAAAAGUUAUUAAGAAAUACUAAUUGAAAGCGGUAAAGCAUAUAUUCAACUCAUUUUUAUAAAAAAAUAAAAUAUAUAAAACCAACAACAAAAAAAGUUAAAAAUAUCUUAAUAAAAAAAAAAUUAAUACACCUAUCAUAAAUAUUUAUUUUAUAUUUUUUUAUUAUUUAAUCAAUACUUUUUAAUAAAGUUGCUAACCCUAAUUUUUAUGGCAUCUUCUAAUCUUAGAUGUCAUCAAUCAAUCAAUCAUAAAUCCCCUAUACUAUACAAGCCAAUAGAUUGACGAAGACAUUAGAUCAAAUUUUUGUGCCCACUCUUCCUCUGUAUACUAUUCAUCGAGUACAUGGCAGUGUCCUUCGUUCUUUAUUACUGUUAAGUGAGAGAAGCAUCACAUUAAAUACACCAACAAUCCCUUGUGUGGGCAUAAUUUUAGAAUUUGCUUUAUACUACCAGCUGGAUAUAAUUAAGAGGGUAUAUAUAUAUAUAUAUAUAUAUAUAUUAUCACAUUAAAAACUAGUAUUUACAAUUGCCAAAACCAAAAAAUAAAAAAAAUCCAAAAAAAUGAUUAUAUACAAUGAAUAUACCCUUGUAUAAUCAAACUUUGCUUUGACAAUGUNUCUCUCUCUCUCUCUCUCUCUAUAUAUAUAUAUAUAUAUAUAUAUAUAUAUAGAACUAGACCGGAAUACUAUCAAUAGUACCAAGUUAUUGGUGCUAUUAAUUUUUUAGUCCUUGGAUUGAAAAAUAUGCAGUUACGAUAAUAUGGGCCCCUAGGAGGAGCGUGUAAUUCGCUAAAUUAGACCUAUGUUAAUUUUGAUAUAUUUGGAGCCAUUCUCUAAAAUACUAUAAAAUUACAAUAAAGCGGAUGCAUAUCCCUAUAAAGUAAAAUAGAAGUAGUAGAUGACUGAACAAUAAUAAUGCUCACUAUGUAUAUGCACUAACAAGAGCCUAUCUCCAUAGUGUAAGGCUGUAAAGCACGAUCCAUGCAGCCCAACCCCACAAUAUGCUCACCAACAUGAUUUGCAUGGCAUUUUGUUUUUAAUCAUUCCAACCUGUAAGUGGUUGCAUAAAGUCAAUAUGCAAAGGUAAACAGACGGGGACAUAGUCAUAAAAUGAAUGGAUGCUCCGCAUGCCAUCCCAAAAUUGCGACUUGAUUCCUGUAGUUUCACUCGUGCAUGUAAUAUUGAGUAAAGAGACUUAAGUGUUUAAAUGAAAUACAUGGAGACCAAGAUGCAGUAUAAGAUUAGCACAGGGGUACUACAAACACGCAUUUACCUUUAGAAAGUGAGGGCACAUGCGCAACUGUCAAUAGUGAAGAGAACAAGUUGCCAUUGAGAGACAAUGCAGCUAUCUAACAAUUCUCUUUUCUUAUGCAAACAAAGGAUGUAACUGCCAACUAAAAGUUCAUAACCAUAUUCAUCGAAGAAAGCUCAAAAGCGAGGCACAGUAGUCAAUUUUUGAUACAUUACUCAACUAGUGAAAGAAUAGGAUGAUGAUGUUUCUUAAUACUGAUACAGUAAGCUCCAUUAUUCAGUUUGCUCUUAACUAUGGAUGAUGAUUCUUUUGAUUUCUUUAAGGUAAGAUGCAACAUAUCGCCAAAAACAAAGCAAGAAUAUCAUCUCUGGACAGAGAAUUGGGUUGCAAGUAAAACUCCGCAUCAUGUAGCUCAAAUGGCUCUCUAUUCACAUAGUUUCAGCGACUAGAGGCCUGGCUCUGCUAACAGCCCAACUUCGGUCUAAGCUGACUACAAGGUAUAUACACAACAAACUGCAUGAAUUACAACACUGCUACUAAGCUGCAGAGCAAUUAGAGAAAGUUUGACCUUUGCGGAGUACAUCCCGAUGAUUGCCAUCAAGCUCGAAGACUCUGCAGAUGACUACCAGAUGCUUAGAAUUAAAAAUAUGAAAGAGAAAGUUUGACCUUUGAGGAGUACAUCCCAAUGAUUGCCAUCAAGCUCGAAGACUCUGCAGAUGAUUACCAGAUGCUUAGAAUUAAAAAUAUGAAACACCCAAGCUAGAGAAAUUCUAAUGUGCAGGAAAUAUCAUGAAAAAUGCACGCAAUAAUCAGUGUCAGAACACUGUGCUUCACAUACUCUUUCUUAUAAAGCAAUAAGUUACUGAAGGAGACCUUAUUAAAUCUCUCCAAGCAAUCUGCUACACACACACACACACAGACAUAACGAAAACCACCUGAGAAAAGUCAAUACUGCUUCAUAUGUGCGAACAGCUAGUGAAAAAGAGUUGUAAAAAGAACUUGAAAUUAUGUAGGAACAUGGAGAUAAGUACUCGAUGAAGAAUAGAACACGUCUAACUGUGUAGAAAAAGAAUUUAACAAAAAUCUAAACAAAAUAAAAAAAAAUACAUUACACCAAAAAGGGCAAAAAUAAUCAGCUAAAAGUGAGCCUAAAGGCUUGGAGAAGAGUUUUACCAGAUCAGCUGCAUUUCUAUUUUUCAGCGUCAACAUUGCUGCCUCUGCAAAGGCUUUUGCUGCUUCUGCAUCAGCUUCUGCAGCCUCCGCUUCUCUCGCUGCUUCCUCAGCAUCAGCCAUGAUAGCUUCUGCCUCUGCAACAGCUCGAGCAGCGGCAGCAGCAGCCUCCUGCGCAGUCAUGCUUUUCAUUCUGGCUAAUUCUGCGUCGAUUUGAGAUUUCGUGAAAGGUUUAAUGUCGUGCUUCUCUGGUCUAGAAGGCUCUCUUUGCAAUCCUUCUAGAAGCAAUACUUUGGAGGCCUUUCCUUCUUGAAAAGAGGAACUUGGUGCAAUCCUAUACUUGCGCUUGACCUACAAAAGGCCAACACCACAUUAUGACAAGCAUUUCUAACUAGAGAAACGACCAUAUAAUGAUGAGGAACUGCUACGAAGAAAAUAAAGGGCAUUAGGCUGAUAACAAAACAGUUGGAUAGUCAAAAAAGGAUGGCAACUGAUUUUAUCUCACAAAUCAAGGACUGCAAUUAAUCUGUCUCACAAAAGCCUGAAGCAAAAUAAUUAAAUAGUGAACAAGGACUGCAAUUGAUUUGUCUCACAAAUCAACACCAAAUUAUACUUUAUUGAACUUCCAUACUGUUAAUAUCGUAUAAUCUAUUUGAGAUACAUUGAAAAAGGAAGUUAAUUAAUUUCCUCUCACAUGAUCAACUGGAUAUGCAAUGAAAGGUGAGAGCUCAACAAGCUUUGUUAGAACGUAGUGUUGCAUAUUCUACUGAGAAAAAAAAAAUCCAUUAACAAACAAAAGAUCAUCUAAAAUCGGUAAGUUACAGAUCACCAGCAUAACAAACUCAUUGUACCAACCACUAGAAUCUCAAUUUUAACAACAGUUGGUCUUAAGGAUCUAGAGCUCCAAAGAAAAUGAUUUUUGAUUUCCAUACAUUUCAAAUAGAUAAUCAUAUGUAAUAACAUAGAUACAAUAUGAAUAACAAAGCAUUAUAUCAAGCAGGAAGCAUCGAGGUCCACAUGCAUAUGCAUAAAUACAUAAAGCGUGUAUGUAUACAUAUGCAUAUGUAGACAAAACACACAGAGACACAUGCACACACACAAACAUGCAUAUGCCUAUUCACAAUCGCAUGAGAUAUUAAAAAGCAGGUUACCUUGAUCAAUUUUCCAGAAGAAGUCAAGGCUUUCAGUUUUGCAGACAGCAGACGCUUAAAAUCAGGAGGUGGCCAGUAUUGAUCCUGUCCAUAAAUCAAGAGAAAAAAAGUUAUGCCUGUAUCAAGUAUAGGAAAUCCAAUUACAACUGUCUCAGUGGAAGAAGGAUUAUCAGCAUUUAACAUGAUAGUGGAUGACUACCUUCUAUACUCGCAAUAAAAUUUAUUUUUGAUGGUUACAUGAAAAUAUAGAUAUUGAACCGUUAUUCCAUAUGUAACAUGCCUUAUUUGUACACAAGCAUAUUAUUGCAACAUAUAUACCAAAAUACCAUGAAAAUGAUGUAGAAAAGCACUCAGAUUGCUCAGAUGCAACCUUUUACUUUUCUUAUUAUGUUUCUUUUCUCUCCUUUUCUUUUCUCGCUGAAGAAAAAGAGAAAUCAUUUUCUGUACAAACAUGCAGCAUAAGGUAACAAUAUCCAUAUACUACUCAAAUUCAUCUAUCAAGCUUGCCCGAAGGUGAAAGAGAAGAAAAGUAAUAGGCCUGUAGGAAAACUGGACCCAAAAGGAAAGCUUCAUAAUUGAUGUUUCAUUUGACAAAACCUACUGAAAUUUUCCUUUUUUUUCUUGCUUGAGAAUUCACAGUAUACUCCACUGCAUGGGCUCAAGACUGGGUUAAGUUGAACAUGGAUAAUAAAAAAGUAUGCUAACCCUGAAAGAGAGACAAGAAGAAGCGCAAAAAAGAUACAGGAGAAAGUAUCCGUAUGUUAAGUUUAUGGCAUAAAAGCAGUUUUUCUUUUCUUUCGGUUGAGCGUCAAUGACUACAAAGUCUACUGCUUAACGCCUCAUGAGAUCAUAUAAUUAAGGAACUCGAGAAAACACAUAUAACAGGACAGAAACUCCUGAUUCACAAAUCACUACAAAGAGAAAGAAAGUAAAAUGAUGUUCUAACUUUGAUGGUACAUAUUCUUGGAAGAAAAUAAAAGAAAGGACCUAAAUAACAGAUGGAAAUACACCUCUAUAUACGCCGCAAUGGCUGUCUUGUUGGACCCAGUUGGCUCCUUCAAGGUUGUUAUAGCCUCAAAUAUAAGAUUGUCAAGUCUGCAUGAAUUAAAAAAAACUUCCCAUGAAUUCACAUACACAGACGAUCAGACAAAUGUAAACACACAAAAUAGCAAUCCUGAACCAUAACUCACCCAUUUUACGUGUUUAGCAAUCUAAUUAGAGCAACUAUGGCUUACCCAUUUAACAGUAGAGUGGCACCAAAUAGAGGCAAAAAGUAAAACAGAUCACUACCACGAUCUCAUUACAAAGCCCUAAAGUACAGAUGAUGCACCAACCUAUACAUAUGACAGCAUGAGAGCAACAAGUAAGCUAACCUUGAGACAGAUCUCUUUGGACUAGCACUUGAUAGAGGUCCGCUAGACAUUGCCAGAGGCUUAGCAUCAACAAUUUCUUCAUCUCCGUCAGCGAGCACUGUGCUGAGCGCCAUUGGGUUAUCAUCAUGCUUAUAAAGAUGUCGGCUCUUUUUUAAAGCUAUUCUGCCCUUCUCUCGAGACCCAAAUCCAUUUGCCGUCACAUUCAUGUUACGCCACUUGUCCUAUACAUUUCAAAGAUGAUAGACAGUGAGUAAUGUUAAAUUAGCACGUAUUAUUUGCAAAAAAGCGAACUUGCUCGAUGAACCAAGGCGAAAGCGAUUCACCUUGAGAUCAACAUUAGAUCGCAAACAUAGGAUGCUACUAAACUCAGGAUCCUUCAAUAUAGUGCGCCAUUUGCCGGCGCCAUGCUUCGCAAUUCCGGCUUUAAGAGCCGCCUCUUCCUCUGACGUCCAUUUCUGCUUUGGAGCGCCCAUGAAACAGAGGCUCGAAACCCCUCAACACAAAUCUGAUGGCAAAAUAUACCUCUCACCCUGCACUCUCAUAGCAAGUAGAAGGUAUUAUUAACGCACAGGAAAUCAACGUAUACUAACCUAGGAGUUGCAUAAUGGAAAGAACACAUACAGAGUUACACACUUAAUUAUAUAAAAAGAAAAAAUAAAACAGUUUGAAGAUCAAACCGUUUGAAUUCGGAUACCACGAGAAGAUAAAACAUUAAGCAAAGUAAAAAAAAAAAAAACAGCUUUUGAUGAAUCGAAUCAGCUUAGAACCGGAAUUUCCAAUUCUUCGAAUAACUACUAAAUCCUAUAAAAUUUUACUAACGAGGCAAUAAAUCAAACCCUAAAUCAUUUUGCACUAACACAAGAUUCAUUUAAAAAACAACAACAACAACAACAACAACAAUGAUAGCAAACCAUCUGAAGAAAGAGGAGUAUGCUCAGUCAUCCUCAGACCCUAAUUUAUCAAAUUCGUAAACAAACAGAAAAACAUCUGAACGUAAAAUAAAUAAAUAAAUAAAUAAAUAAAUAAAUGAGAAGGAAAAAAAUUGAACCUCGUGUGGUAAUCGCCAUUGAAGGAGCUUCAUAUAGGAAAACGCUUUUGAUCUAAUUUAAAGCCAUAGAAAUGAACGAGAGAGAGAGAGAAAGAGAGAGUUGAUUCACCGCCCCGUUCGUUUCCGGCUCCUCGCGUUGCGGCCGCAUGUGGGGAGGAGAACGCACCGUUCUCGGGUCGGGUGGGGUUCGUUUGCGGAACCGGAUCGCAUCAGUCUCGAACCCGGUAAGGUAACGGGCUUGACCGACACGCUUAAUGUUCGACUUAGAACUGGAUCCACAUUAGAUUGAAUCUUAAACUCCCCUUCACAUUUGGACAAGUUUUUGUAGGCCAUAAACUUAAAUUAAAUAAAAAAAUUAAUAAUUCUAAAAAUUUGAUGUGAUUCGAAUUUAAAAUUUUCUUCUUCGAUAAAUGAUAAAUAAUAAUAAAGGAAAUAAUUAAUAUACUUUAAAAUUUUAAGUUGAUAAAGAACGGUACUUUUAUAUAUUUAUGUUCAAAAUAUUGAACGAAUUUGUUGUUCAAUGGGAUUUUUCCAGGGUGAAUUCUACUACUAGGCCUCAGAACAUUUAAUCAUAUCUCAUUUUGGACUUGAGACGAUCUCCACUUCUACUAUGCAAAACUUCUAAUUAAGUUUCCUUUGGACUCAGGUUUUAUCAUACCUGCAACUUCUUAAACCAACAUUUGAUAAUUUGAAUUUUUAAAAUUUUGAUGUAUAAAUAUACAGAUCUACCAAAUGCAGUUUUAAAAGUUUCAGAGUGUAAAUUUUUAACUUAAAAGCUCCUAGUCCAAAAGUCCAUUGCAGGUGCAGUUUACACGAUUUUUAAUGCCAAUAUUGGCCAAAGUUCAUGCUCUAAUCUGAAACACAAAUGUCAUAUGAAGAACAUUGUGUAAGGUUAUCACAUUUAUUUACCAUCUCCAAAGUAAACUGAGCAGGGAAAUAGCAACUAAAAUCUGAAGUUCCACAUAAUAUUUUACACUCUUCAUUUUUAACUAAUUCCAUCUAUAUGACCGUUUUAUGAAGAUGUGUAACUCCUCAUGAAAUUCAAUCCAUAUAGACAAAAAUUUGCCACUCGAGCCUAAUUAACUUUCACCAAAAGUUGAACUGUAAUUUGGAUACGCAGCUCCAGUAAAUACAGAUUUAAAUCUACCAAAAAUUGCGCUUCAACAGAAACAUCAAUGGCCAAAUUUCAAGUACAAGAUGAUCAAACUGGCCCAUAUUUUCCACAGAGAAGUUCUUCGGAGCCAGCGCGACGCAGAAGAGGGCCUGAAUCAAUCAAAUAAGAUUUGUUCGUAAGAAUUCUAAAUAAUAACAGUUAAAGAAAACAUAACUCAGUUGCCUUAUAAUACUGAAGAACAAAAUGUUAGCUACAUGAAGGAAUGUUACUCACUCAGAGGUAAGAUACGAGCAGGAUCCGUAACCUGUCAAACCAUCAACUAUAAUUAAUCAACAUGUGAUUACAACAUAGAGCUGAUUCAAUUUUGGAUUCAGUGGAUCAGGUCAAAUUACGAAUGUGUCUAUCGAAAGCAUCUUACUUGGAUCUUUGCUAGUGAUGGCGGCGGUUCCGCCGAAGUUACAUGCAAUGUCAGAGUUUCCAUUCUGCUGGUAGUAGCUGUUGAAGGCGAAGGAGGCGUGAGAGAGGAGGGUGUCGGGCUGAAAGCAAGGCCCGCCGGGCUGCACCUGGGAGCAGUCGGUGGCCCCCGGACCGCAGGCCCAAUCGAGGGCGUUCUGGAGGUCGGCCUGGGACACUCCGGGCCGGGCUACGCACCACGUCGUGCCCUCUACAAAUGUGGUGUUGCCCUCCGGCGGCGAGAAGGUCGGGAUCGGCGUCAUGGAUUCGGCCUUCUGAUGUCUUGCUGCUCCAACUGCAUAGGCUGAGUUCAAAGUCAGAAUGUUAGUAUUGAGUCUCAGGUUCAACAAUGAUAGGAAUAACAUCUAAUCAUGUUACUGAAAAGCAGAGGGUGUAGGAUUGUCGGAUCAUCGGCGCAACUAUUAAUCUCAAAAGCUUGAGCCAUUAGAAAAAUAAAAUAAAUUCACUUAAAGCCUGCAGACAAAGCGUCCAUGGAUCUCGAUUGUGAUUUGGUCCAAACCAGCCUCACGUUACUUCGAACAUAACUUGGACCUACCAGUUUCACGCCAUUUUGAAUAUAACUUGACCCAACCUGGCCUCUUGCCAUAGGACAGGAUACUGAUCCCUUUAGCCAAAAAGGACGAGCUAACCUUGGUUCAGAAACAAGAUGAAAUUUUAUUUUUUAAAACUUAGUUAUUUGCGAAUUUGAUCACUAAUAGGAAAAACCUACAAAACUGACCUGAACUAUGCACAUUUUUUGGCGACUACCCAACCUUCAGAAGUUAUUGAUUUUGCUCUUUACCCUUUCAAUUCACGGCUGUCAAAAUCUUCAAUACAAAAACGACAACUGAUUCCAAGGAUUUGCUACUAUUGCCCAAAAUAUCAAAUUGAUCUAACCAGUUUAAUGGAGCUCUUUGGAGAUUUAAACUACUGUACAUUUAGAGAUUUUCAGUGUUUCUAUGUUUGAACCUGUUAAAUGCUGGAAACUGCUAUAUACAGGUUUCAAUUACAUCAUGUUUGCUGUAGAAACACAUACUAAGAUGUUUUUAUCAGAUCAUCCAUUUAAGAUAAACAUGUUACUUAUUAACAACCCCAUCUCCAAACAUUUAAACGACAGAGCAUAAUUAAGUUCCUUCUGAUUUAUUCAACUCGAUCGACAAAUUAAUACAUCAGAUUCUGCGGGGAGAGAAAGUAAAAUGCGCUCCAGAGAGUGUUCAAGUUAAGUGAGUUAUGUGCUAUUGGUAUUAUAAACUAUUUAUUUACCAAAAUAAAAACACAUAAAAAAUAGUAUCUCUACAAGUAAUCCCAGGAGUGGAAAACAAGUUGCUAUUUCAUUUCACUACUUUAUAACAGAUGAGUAUAAAGUAUAAACUUCUUUUAUGAUAUGGUAAAGCAGAGGAAGGAAAAAUAGAACAGAAAGAGUAUUAUUGUGAUCAUGAAAUCGAAAAAAGAAGAGUUACCCAUGUAGAAGAACUGCACCAGGAAAAGGCCAUGAAUGAUCAAUCUUUUUCUCUUCAUCAUGGUCUCUAAGACCCAAUUUCCCCUCCCUCUUCUCUCUCUAUGUAUGUUUGAGACAGAGAGGGUGUGUGUGUGUGUGUGUGUGUGUGUGUGUGUUGCAGAUGCAGAAGAAGAUACAGGCCAAGAGCAACAAACAAAACUUCAAUGAAAAGCAGCUGCAGAUGUUCAUAUGAAAGGCUGGAUUCUAUUACUGCAUUUACAGAAGAAGAAGAGUCAUAUAAGAGUCAUAUAAGCCUACAUUAAAUGCUCUGCACUCUGCAGAGAGAAGAGAGAGAGAAGAGAGAGAGAAAGAGAGAGGGAGAUGCAGAAUGAUGGUACAAAGGUUCGGCUGCAGAGUUCUGUAGCUGAUAAAACUUUCAGAGGAUUCGACCACUGGUUAAAAAGACGCUCUUCCUCAGUGUAACCGUGACACAGCCCUCUUUCCAUGCAAAUUUACUAAUAAGGGUAGCUCUAAAAUCAUGAAAAAUAAUUUAUGGUGAAAACAAAAUUCAGUGGAAAAUAAGUUUUAUAUUUAGUAGUGUUUUAGUUUGUAGGGAAAAAAAAAUAUCAAUAUUUUUUUGGUUAAAAAAAUAUUUUUUAGUUUUAUAAAUAAAAAUGAAUGAAAAAAUUUUACGUAGUUUGAGAGCUUUUGUUUUCCACCGAUAAAACAGCGAAAAACGGAAAUUUUAAUUUUUUUAAAAAAUUAUAAAAAUAAUUUUACAUUGAGUCAAAUAAGCGAAAAAAUAUUUUUCAUACUAAAAAUAAUUUUUCAGUUCGUUUUAUGCAGAAACAAAUGUCAUUGAGCCUUUGCAGGCCAUAGUUAUACGGUAUACGGUACUUGAGUUUAUGCUUUUUAUGUUCAGAAUAUCAUUUUAGUGGCUACUAAAGUAAAAGAUUUAAUUUUUGCUUUAAUUAGACGCUCUGUUCUAAUAAUUAUUGCGAAAAAAAAAAAAGAAGAACAAAAGUGAGGCCAAAGAAGCUCAAGGAAACCUUGUUGAGAAGAUCUUUUAUAAAUUCCAUCCCUAAUUCGUUGAUUUAGAAGUAUAAUAAUUAAUAAAUUAACCUCCUCUCCACAACGUAUAAUUUAUUAAUCAACCUCCUCUCUUCAACGUAUAAUUUAUUCAUUAACCUCUUCUCUACUUAACGUAUAUUGCAUGAACUAAUAAUACUUAUUUAGCGUUUCUAACAUUUACUAUUGAGAUAGUGAACACUUAUUGAGCAGUAAUAACUAAUAACUAAUUAAUAUGUGAUAAAGAGCCAAUUGUAUUCAAGCAAUCUCAAACCCAAAAGCAUGUUUUUCAUAUAAUACAAAAUAUUCACAAAUUUGCUCAUAAAAAGCACUGUUACUUCCUUAAAAAAGAAAAAAUCGAAAGCUUAAAAAGAUGCACUACCAUGUUGUUCAUUCAUGCAUACUUUAUAAAGAGAAGCUUCUAGUUGGCAGCUAUUAUUUUUAUAUAUGUAUUAUAGUAGAUCUCGAUUAACUUAGGAGAAAGUUUGCCUUGUAGACAAAGAAAGCUAUGAGAUUCUCUCACACAUCCUUUUUUUUUUUUUUCUUUUAUUUUUGUUGUAGUGAGUUACUAAAAGAUUGUUCUUUCAUGGUGUAGUAAAUGGAAGGAACAAACUAGUAAAGUUAUAGAGCCAUUCCUUGUGGAUUAAGAGAAGAACCCAAAAUGUACUUGGUACGAAAAGAAGAUGUGCGAAGCUACCGCAAAUGAUUUGUUUUUGCUGCUAGAGUACUGGUUACUGAUGAUUAGUUUCACCGCAAAGCCAAAUUAGAGUAAGGAUGUCUUAGUACGUAACUGCGUACGGUCGAAGGAUAAUUCAUAGCUUGUUUCGCUUUGUUUUUGAAUGUACAUUCGUGCUGAAUGUGCUAAAUCAAAAUGUUCAGUUGUUGCUUUCAUUUGUUACACAUAAAAUUUUGUUUCCUGCAGCAGGAGACCUUAAGCACAGUAGAUACAAUCAGAGCCAAACAAAAUGCUUGUAGAAGAUCAAUGUAUCUGUCGGUAGCUGCAGGUGCAGAUGCGAGAUGUUCUGAGUUUAAAAACACUAAAAUUUGGGCCACUGCAUUGCUUUGGGCUGCGUUCAAUUAAAAACAACCCACUUCGAGUUAUUUCCACUUAAUGGGCCGGACCCGAUCCGUUAUGGGCGUAAUUAAUUAUUGGGCCAAGUAAUUACGGGUUGGGCCUCCAUUCCACCCGCUCACGAGCAACGCACGUGCUCCGCAACGUUCCCGCUCCGCUCCACUUCCAGAUGCUUCUUCGCCGCCGCACAAACGGCGUAGCUCGUAUAUGAAUAUGUAUAUAAGCGUGCUUCUCCCCGAUUUAUCGUCCUCCAAAACCCUAAAACCCCCUCUCACUCAUCUCUCCGCUCCCGCGGCCCAUGCGCGAAGCCACCAAGCGCUUGGAUUCGUCGUCUUCGUCUCUGAUCGCCUUCGUCCCGCGCCAAGUCAUGUUGGACUCCCAUGGCGCCGCAGCUCACGCGGAGGGCGAGGAGAGGAGGAGAGAGAAGGAGAUGAAGAAGGAGAAGAAGAAGAAGAGCAAGAAGAGCGCGUCGGGGACUCUAGCCGAGUUUCGAGAAGGAUCGGAUGCCCUAACUCUGGAUCUCUCCAAUGGCGGAGCCGUGGCUCCGAAGGGGACGGGGCGAGGGGCUCUCCUCAGAUCGAUCGCCAUUUUUCUCGAGAGCAGCGGGUUCUCGAAGACGCUCGCCACGUUCAAAUCCGAAGCCAAGCUUGAGGUACUCUUUAAUGCAAGAAUUUUGUCCUGUUUCUCCAUUCGAAUAAUUGGUUCGAGCUUGUUAAUGUCAAACAGUAUUUGGAUUUACACAGAAAUCGCAGUGCAUACUGUAUGUUUGGCUGUUCAGAAAUGGAGAAUUCAGAGAAGUGUUGGAUAAUGUUCUAAGCUUUCAGCAUCAGUAAUUGCUGUAAUGGCACAUAAUUUGUGAUCAUGCUGAGGAUGUUUUUACCUGAUAUAUCUGUCAUAUUUGUACUUUCGAUACUCGCAGUAAAGAACAGAUGUCUCAAGUGGGUCGAGAUUGCUUGUGACUAAGUUUAAAGGUACUAAUAAAAGGUACCUAAAGAGCAAAGGAUAAAUACCUUAAUAGAUUGUAUUUAUGAUAUAUAUGGGACGAUAUAUUUAUGCAUCAAAUGUAUUUGUGCUGAUGCAUAUUUAUCAUCGAUUUUUUAAAAUCUCCUUAAUGGAGAUAAAGUUAUCUGAUAGAACCUUGUGUUGACGCGCAAGUAUUGUUAGAUUGUUCGCGCAUUUUCUUGAAAUCAAAGAGCUUGAGUUUGAGCUUCGGUGAUAAAAUUUUUAUUGUUCUGUUAGGAACACGGUCCGAGAUGACAAAGUAAGAACAAGUUUGUGCCUAUCAAAUGUAUGUAAGAACCUGUGGAUCAAGGCUACUUCACCUGAUUGAUAUAACCCUUUCAAUAGACACAGUAUUGAUGGAUAUUCUAUUGCUGUCUCAGACGCUCUUUUUUCCCCUUCCAUUUUCCUUGAUAAUAUGCUGGUUAUCUGUGCCUCUUCUGAUCUUUUCUUGGUGAUAAUAUUAUUUGCUGUUUUCCACCUAUAUUGCUCCGAGUAGAUGAAGUAUAGUGAUUAUGCUGCAGGUCGAUGAUUGGAGCUCAUCAAGUUUGAGCUUGGAAGAUAUAUUUUGCAAGUUCUUAGAUGCAAGGUAUUGUUCGAUAUAUGUCUCCCUAUUCAAUUGUCUGUGAUACUGAAUUGGAGCCUAUUCAGGCUCCGAUGUGAACUAUAGCAACCAUAUAUCAGAUAUGCAAGCCUCUAUCCUUGUAUCAUCCUAUAUAUACCAAAGUCAGAGAGACAAAUUGACUCUCCGAUACACAGUUACCCUUGGAUGGUGUUCCCAUGCACAAUGUGGUGAUUCCCAAUCCGAGGCUUUCCUUGAGUUGGAUUCUCUAUUCGGCUUUCCAACUUCAGGGAGGAAAAAGAAGGGGAAAUUUUACUUGUACACCCCAAAAGGGGGGUAGAUCUUACAUCCUUUAUCCUAAGGUUCACUAAAACCCAAACGGGUUAUAGAAAGAAAAAGGUCAUGUGAAAAAAAUAGGGGAAUGAUGGCUUAGAUGGAGGGAGUGUAAGAUGUACACCCCACUUUGGGGUGUACUAAUAGCAUUGCUAAAAAAAAAAAAAAAAGAAAAACCUUUUCUAACUUAACUUUCAUCCAAUCUCUUAGACAAUCUGCUUUCAUUUGGAAGUUUCAAGUCUUGUUGAUGGGCAGCUGCCAGUUAGAUUUGAGUAAAUAUCAUAGAAUUUGAGUUCUAACAAAUUUCAGAUUCCCUUUAUUAAAUUAUCUUGUGGAUCUUGCUACCACUCAGAUUUUAUGAUUUUGAUAUUGAAAAUUUCCAGUUAAUAAGUUUCCUUAGAGAAGUCAUUAAAUGUUAAAUAAAUGAACCUUUCAUUCCAGAUAUUUUUUGCCCAACAAAAUAAAGACAACCAAAACAGUUAGCUGUUGCUGGUUGGCAAUUUCUUAUUUUCAAUUUGUCCAUCUGAAGCUAGCUUUUCCUGCUUCAUUCAGUUGUUCUUUUGACUCUUUUGUAUGCUCUUACAUAUUGUGAACUGUGUUUAGCAAAGAGUUCCGGAAAAUUCAAACUUUACUUUCCUGCUUUAUUUGCUAUAAUCCACGUUUUCUGGGAGUUAAGAGGAAAUUACGGUUAACAAAGAUUUUUUUAAGAAAAAAACCUUAAUAUGAGAUACUUUUAUGAUAAAGUUUUAUCACAACAAGCUCUUUAUUGUUCAGCAUCGCGAAUCAUUUACUGACCUCAUGGCUUGAGAUGUUCACUUAUUGGAGCCUGUACUUGUAGUUUUCUUCAUCAUACCAUACUGAUUCAGCAAAGUUUCACUUGCACUCUGCAUAUUUCUUUUUCCUAACUUUUUUUUUUUUAACUGUAUGCAGCAAUGGUCUUGCAGAAGCUAGUAUCAGUUGGCAAAGGGAACAAGGUACAAUGUCAAGCCUCUCUAUUCUUCCUGACCAUUUUGUGCUUUGUUUGCUUGUAUUUUCUAUAGGCACCAUCACCCCGCCACCCUCAUUUUCUCUCUCCUUUUAGCUGUAAGCCUAAUUCCAGUUGCACAAUGCUUGCAGCUCCAGAAAAAGAAGGCAUUUUACAAGAAGCUGAAGGGAAGAAUACUGAUGGGGCCUCCGAACACUCUCAGAAGAAAAAGAGAAAGAGAGGUAGUGAAACUGAUGGAACAAAAAUUGAGACAAGUAAAACCAGGGCAGAAAACGUUGGUGGUGUGGAUGCUUUAGACAAACCGUUGGAUAAAUUAAAAGUCAAAUCUAAGGAGACUAAGUCAGGAGUUUCUGGAGAGGAAGAACUGAAAAAAUCCAAAGAUUUCGGUGAUGAAACUGAUUUCAUGGAGUUCAAAUCAGUUGAAGAAUCACAUAGUGAAAUCAAAGAGAAGAAAAGGAAAAAAAAAUUAGCUUCUAGCUUGUCUGGAGAAGAAAAGGAAAAUAGUGAGGAGGCAGUUGCUUUUAAAGGAGCAACAAAGGCUGAUGAAGAAAAGCUAUUGCCAAAGCUCAAUGAAAAUGGGAAAAAGAAGAAAGAGAAGAAAAAGAGAAUGGUUGAUAAUUCUUCUAAUGAGAUCAGCAAACCUGACGAGGACGAGAAACUUAAAGAGGCUGUUAAAGAUGAAGUAGUAGUGUUGAAGUCACUAGUAAGCGAGUCUUCUGACACAAAAACAACACAUAAAGAUGAUAAAAAGAACAAAAAGAAGGUGAUUGGGAAUAUUGAAGAACUAGAAAUAUGUGAGGAUGGAACUAAGAAAACCUUAACAGAGCUAAAAUCCAAUGAGAAUUUAUUGGAUGAUGAUUCUCAGGUUCGGGAGAAGAAGAAAAAGAAAGGUAAAUCGACUUCUGAGGAUCAAAGUGCAAAAGUCUCAGAUUUGAAAGAUGCAGGAGUUUGUCUUACUGAUGAAGGUGGAAGAAAAACUGACACUGCCAAUGGAAAAGUUCCUGUUACUGAAAGUAAUGAUGAGAAUAUUGAAAAUAAAAUUUCCAAGAAGAGAAAAAGAGUUGCUUCAAAAGAAAAUGGCUCCAAAACUGACAUUGAAGUUCCAGUAAAGGAUGAAAAUAUUAGAUCUGAUGGUGCUGAAAAAAACAAAUCUAGAUAUGAUGAUGAAGAUAAUGUUCUUGCCAAAAAGCAGAAAACUGAAGAAAGCAACAGAACUUUUGUUGAAGACAAAACAGCAGGAAAUAAGCUGGUGAAUGGACAACUUGAAAACAAGAAGAAUGAAGAAAGUGCUUCAUCAAAAGCAAGAAAAAAGGAAAAUGCAUCAUCAGAGGUAUAUACAUCUUUUCCUCUCUUACUUAUUUCUUGAUGUUAUUUUCCUCGUCGUGUGGAAAGUACAACUCUCACUAAACUAGGACCCCAAUAUUCAUCUUUUUAUUAUUUUUUACCAUUAUUGUGUCUUCCAUGCUUGCGUAGAAAUGGCAUUGCGUCUUGUGCAUGAUCUUGACCAACAUCACAUUAAAUAAAGUUUGAGUUAAUGUAUCUCUAAUCAUGUGAAGUGCUUAUGGGCAGAAUUUUUCUUGUUAUGUGUGUGACUAUAACAUCUAUCAUAUUGAAGUUAACUAUUAAGCUUUUGAUAUCUGUAAGUGUAGAAACUUCUUUCGUUGACUAGAUUGUGUUUAUUUUUUCGUUUGAUAUCUCGAACUUUUGUACCGUUGUUUGUGCAGCCAAAAUCAGCUAAUGCAUUUAGAAGGGUAAAGGCGGAUGAGGUUAAAUUUGCUGAUAAGAAACUUCAAGACAAUUCCUAUUGGGCUAAGGCACUUCCUUUAUUAUCUUUUUUUUACGAAAAAACAUUUUUAUUACUUAGGUUGUAACUGAUCUGAUUAUCAAAUCUUUAGUGUUAACAAGAACCCUGCUUGUUUUCUCCUCUUUUUGGCUACCUCUCAGGAUGGUGCAGAAAUAGGAUAUGGUGCAAAAGCACAAGAAAUUCUUGGUCAAGUCAGAGGAAGGUAAGACAUUAAUGUUCUUAAAUCCAUAUAGGAAAAUAAACACCUAAGAUUAUUAGUUUGUAGCAUUGGCCAAUUCUUGAUAUUUUAGGCUUAAUUAUUUUGUAGAGUGAUUAGUGACAAGUAAGAUUUUCUAAGUUUACAUAAUACUUGUUUAAAGUCUGUUUGAUCCUGAAAAGAAGUCAAGUUCAUAAGAUUUCUUAGUUGAUUUAGGUUUGAACUCGUUCACAGUCAACCAUGUAGAGUUGUAUACCGACCACCACCAUGUAGAGUUGUCCCUCAACUUCUAGUCAAGCUUCACUUUCAUACUCAAAAUGCUAAAUCGGGUAUUUGACGCCCAAAACUUGUGAAAUGCUCUAGUGCUUGCCAUCACCUACUACUGGAUGAAAAAUCAUUGCUUAUAUCUGACACAUCCAUAGAUCCGUGCACCAUGAGGCCUCUGUCUUAUCAUACAUCUUGCUCAUUCAAUCUGACUAUCUAAAUUUCUAAGAUAGAGAAGGUUGCAACUCACUUGGUGGUGGGAAUUGAAAUAUUGGACCCCAUAGAGGGCUGAGAUGAAUAUAUGUUUCAUGGAUGUACAGAUGCAUCAAGGUGCAGGCAGAAAAAAAUUUCUUUUAACGACAAGAAUUAAAGGGGGACACUUUUGAAAGUUCGGGGCAUCGAAUGUCUAACUUAAAAAGUUUGAAUUCCGUAAGGAAACUUGACUAAAAGUUUGGGAGUGUAGUGCAAUUUAUCACUAAGCUUAGAUGUUAUUUAUUACACAUCAGGAUAAUAAUGUUUACUAGAGGAUUGAUGUUACUUCAUUUUUUUAUAAAAAAAAAACCCAAAAUUGCAGGGACUUCAGACAUGAGAAGACUAAGAAGAAGCGUGGAACUUACAGGGGUGGGCAGAUUGAUUUACAAUCUCACUCGGUGAAAUUCACCUAUGACGACGACGAGUGAUAGGCUAAUCCUCAGGAAAACCAACUCCCUUCUCCAUCUUGUUUUCUCCAUCAUUUCUCUUGUUGUGAUUUAUUCAGAAAUCCUGAGUGUUGUUGAGCAUUUCGAAGAGUAAACAUUCGAGGACAUGGCCAUUCCGAAUCUGGUCAGCCAUUCCUCCCACUAGGCAGCCCCGUACUGUAUCUAAUUCAAUUUUGCAUCUUGAUUAAUUAUCAAUUGCUAAAGCUGUUCUUAAAUUACAAACUAUAGCUUUGUUGUGUUUAUUCCUGGUUAUAUUAUUAUCAUUUUUAUUACUAUUAUAAUUAUUUGAGAGUCCCAAAUGCAUGGUUUUAUCUGCACUACUAUUGUCGAAAAGAUUUGGUAAAGAUUUCGAUAUUGCAAUUCUAAUUAGCUCCCCUCUUUGAUCUUGUGUGUGCACCAGCAGGUCUGUGUUGGCUGGAAGUAUAAAUUGUUAAGCCACGAAGGCUCUGGCUGGGAUUUUGGGGAGUAUGUGCUGCAUGUGCAUGUGUGUUGCGAAAAUGUCUAUGUAUUCUGCAUGGUUUUAUAGAAAAUAAUGUGCUGAGAUUUAGAUCCUAUUGGAAUAUAUAUAUAUAUAUAUAUAUAUAUAUUGGUAGUAUUAUGCAGCACUGGAUAUCAGAUUGGCUAAAAGAGACAUACGGUGGCUGCAUCUGUGAUCGUCUAGCAAUACAGGAAUGCUGUGCAGGAAAAGACCAUGCAAAUAAAUGAAUACUCGGAAAGACCAUUCUAAUAAAUAAAUGAACACAAUGUUGCGUUACCUGUAACAACCUACUUUGCUUCUCGCUCACAACUCAGUACAUUGACCUACAACGUUAUUGCAGAUUUAAAGUACCUGUGUCGUCGUUUUAAAGUCUUAAAUUCUUGCACUUUUGUUUCCGAGCUAAGUUCCACGCGGUGCUCGGAUAAUGCUUCCACCGGGAAGUUUGUGCAUUUGAAAGAGCGCCUCUUUAGAUUUCCUUAACUCCUGUAAUGAUGUGUUGGUUGUAGAAAUUAAGUGUUGGACAUUUCAAUAAUCCACUAUUGUCUCCAUUUGAAAACAUCUAGCGAACUUUUUAACUUUUCAACAUUUAUAUCAUCAGCAUCGUACAGAAGAGCACAGUGGUUGGAUCCUUAUCUUCAAUAGCAAUAGCAAGUGAACAGACCUUCUAUUAGCCUUCAUUGGAUGGACAAAACCUUACACAAUGAUAACAUAUUUUGAACCCUUGUGGAAAGAGAGAGCAGAGUCAAAUACCACACUCGCUUCCCCAUUUCCAAAACGCAAACAUAUGCUCUCCAAAUUAAUCCCAUUUGCGUCCAAUGUGUCGGGGACAUUAGAAGAUAAUGAUAAUAUUCUUUUAGCUUAAAACCCUUAUAUCACUCACAACAUCUUGGGGCAUUGCAAGGAAAGAAAUAAUUGUGUUAUAUUUUAGGGGGGGUUCUAAUUAUUUUUGUCUCUGCGCCCUCGGUGGGGUUUUAGAAGCAUCUGUUGCUCUUCUUUUUAAAUUGCUUUAUUAGGGUAGUGUGGGGGAAGUGAUGAGAGAAAAGAGGCUUGUUUGCACGGGUGGGUUGGGCUUGUACAACUUCGAAAAGCACUGACGCUUCCUUCGUGGGUCUUCGUGUUUGACUCACCCAAGAGAAAUAAAUUUCAUAUUAUUAUGCAACAAUAUUUUAAUUGCGUGUAACAAACUAACAUCACUGUUUAAAACUCAUCUUGAUAUGUAAAAUUGAAUUUUAUAAGGUUCAAGAGUGUGGUGUGUAUAGCUAAAGAUAUCGGCUUGUGAUGAGCGUAGAGACGCUAACAAAGCUUUGAGCUUCCAGAUCUGACACGUACCCUCAAACAAAGCAAAAGAUUGGGAAAAAGAAAAUGUCGCGUGUACUCGAAAUACUCGUAAUAAUGAAUUGAAAACAUGGCAAACCAAACAUUUUCUUUCUCACAGAAAUUACAAAAAAGAAAUGAUUUAAACUUCAAAAAGGAAACAUCACGGACCCCUUUAAUUAAUUUCGCGCCCUUCUUCAUUGUCACCACACUACAAAAACCUCUGUAGCUGAGCUCUCCUGCUCUAUUCUUAUCAUACAAACCCCUUGCUCUCUCUCUCUCUCUCUCUCUCUCUCUCUCAAUGGAAUAUGAAAGAAUCCACAAAGUUCAGGUUUGUUCUACUAGUCCAUUAAUUAACUCCAUAUUAUUCUUAGGAAUAUAAUUUGGCUGAUCUUUCUGAUGCAUGUUAAUUUUUAUGAUUCAAACUAUGUUUUUUCAAAAGCUUAAGCGGCUAAAAAAUAGUAAAAUGCUAGAAAAUGGAAUAAAGCGAGGAGUGUGAUACUAUGCAUAUUAAAUUAUAUGAAUAAACUAUUUUUCUUUUCCGAAAGUUUUAGUUACCGAGUAACAGUAUUUUCAAUAUUUAUAUUCAACAUCUCAGAUUCUUUUAAUUUUCACUUGCUAGUAAUUAGUAGCUUUUGCUGUUAAUCUCUACUAAAGUUUACACCAAAAUGGUUCAGCAACAUUUGAUGAACUAUUAUUGUUGUAGGUAGGAGCAAUAUCCCCUGGUAAACUCAGUAUGAGACUAUUUGGAUCUCACCAUAUCAGAAAACAAGAAUCAGCAAACAAUUCAUCCAGAGCAUCCCCUUCGAAGCUCGACGACACCGAGUGCUCUAGGAAAAGCUUAUUAGCCGAAGAUCCUGAUGAAACAUGUAUAUAUACUAUCACCUAAAUGAAAUUAUUUCUUUGGUUUCAGUUUGUUACCUUCUUUUUUCCAAAAUUCUUUGUUCCAGAUAAACUGAAAGACAAUGGAAAUGCUUCCCCCUUGAUUGCUGUUGAAAAUUCAGAAGCCUCUUCAGAAGCAUUAAGCGGCGUAAGCACCGUAGAGUUUGCGAGAAGUUCGGAAGAAGAUGGCAAUAUGAAUGACAAUAGAAACAGUUAUAAUUUUGAGUUCCAAAGAGAAAAGAGAGGAAUACAACACUCAGUUGUUGGUUCGUUCAUUAGGCAGGUUCCGUCGAAGUGGAAUGAUGCGGAAAAAUGGAUAGUAAAUCGGCAUAUAAUUUAUUCGAAUCCUAAUGUUUCGAAAAGGACUGCUUCAGAAAGCCGAGGGACUUGUCAAGUAACUUCUAAUUUGGUGAGGGUAGCUCCGGAAUUCGCAAGUGCGGAGCGAAAGAAUCACCGAGUUCAAAAAACAGGUAUUGAAAGUAGCAGUUCCACUAAUCCUACUAGUGAGUUUGAGCUUAUGUUGUUAAAUUUAUACAAUGUCUUUUGCUUAUGUUUGCCUUUUAACAUAUGCGAAAACCAUGCAAAAACUCUGAUCAAUCUUUCUAAAGAAACUAUGCCAAAUUAUUGGCUCCUUUCGCAGACCAUGAAAUGCUUCUAUUUUCCUCUUGAUUCUAUCUUCUAGUUGUAAUAUUUUCAGUAAAAUUAUGCAGUUACUUCCGCCGAACAAUCAGUUUCUACAAGAGAUAUCGGAACAGCGAUGACUCCCACUGCAAGUCAGGAUCCAUCGAGGACUAAUACUCCGAUUCGGGCCACAACACCCGCCUUCAGCCCGCCAUCUUCGCUGCCGUCAACUCCUAAAAGAGCAAGAAGGAUUUCAACUCCUUCGGAGGAGAAUGUACAUAAUCAAAAGAAAGUUUGCACGGCAGAUUCUUCUGAGAGGGAAUUGCAGCUGAAAAUAAGAAGAGAAAUCGCCGCUCUCGGCCUUCAGCUGGGCAAGAUGAACAUUGCUUCCUGGGCUACUAAAGAUGAGUUGAUGCAGGCCUCUCCAUCUAUUGCUUCUACGAACGCGGACUGUGUUGCAAAAAUGGAGUUUGAAACCCGUGCAGUGGCGUGGCAGGAAUCUCAAAAAUCAAAAUAUACUGCGAAGUACGUAGAUAGUGAAAUUUUCAUUACUCUAACAACAAACCAAUGACCUACUAUAAUUGAUUUCUUUAAUUAUUUGAUAUGCCAUCAUGCAGUUCUUUAAUCUUCUAUGUUUGUACAUUUGCUUAAUAUAGGAGUCCACUGGGGCACUGAGCAUUCCCAACAUAAAAACUACAAGGAUGUAGCUAUAUUCUCAGCAAAUAUUAGCGCGUAGAUAACUUAAUUUUACUUGCUUUUUGUCUCAUGAUCUGACACUCAUUGCUUAACAGCAGUAACAAUUUUAAUCUGUGUUUAAUUACAAUUUUCGAGCUCAUCUACAUGUUCUGUGUUUUUUUAUCUACUCAUCCUUUAGACAUAAGCAUGAUGAGAUCAAGAUUCAAGCAUGGGAGAGUCAUCAGAGAGCAAAAUUUGAAGCCAAAAUGAGGAAAGUUGAGGUAGCCCCCUCGUCGAUUUUCAGUUCUAAGUGCUUACUCUUUUGCUAGAGAAUAAAAGUUUAUGUAAUAUUUAAGUCUCUUAAAGCCUUACACAUUCUUAACUUACGAAAAGCUCAACAAGAAGUAAUCUGAGAUACUUAAUACAUUCGCAUUUGUUUCAUUAUCUCAUAUUAGAUGUCGAAUAUGAACGUUAAGUGUUGUGAACAACUCGCAGGCUCGAGCCGAACAGAUGAAAGCCCGUGCGCAGCAGAGGAUGGUCGAAAAGCUCACGAAAACACGGCUUAAGGUGGAUGCGAAGAAAGCCACUCUAGACGCCAGAAGAGAUCGACAAGUUGUAAGGUUAGCGCGACAAGUAGAGAAGAUCCGUCAAACUGGUCAUGUACCGUCAUCGCUACUAAGACCGUUCCUCGGUUGUUUCCUAUCAGAUAGAUCUUUCUUGUAACAAUGGUACUAAAUCCGAUUAUAAUACUCUUAAUUUCGCGAGGUUACAAGUUCAAUUCUUGACAAUAGUAUUAAGGAACUACGUCGUUAAUCUUGUUUGUACACACAAUAUGGUUUAUCUGAUCUCCACUAUGAACGUCAAAUGGAGUGUUGAGAAUAUUCCUAGACGAUUUUGCGAACUUUUUGGCAAUAGUCACAUGUUUGAUGGUGUUGUUGGUUUCUUCAAUUCAAUCCAUUUUCUCCUUUUACUUUUUGCGUUGUUUGUGCUUGGAAUUAUCAGUCGAAAAUCUAAACAUUAAAUUGUGAAGAGUUUAGAACGGAUAGCAUUUUCCUUCUCGUAAAUCUAAACGUUGUUUAUGCAUAGAUGCACGGAUAGCAUUUUCCUUCUCGUAAGGAGAAGCAUAAUUUUAAAUGAUAUAUGGGAACCAAUUAUAAUAUUUUAAACGUCGAGGACUAAACUGAAAGAGGAGCGCUUCCCAGAGAAAAAGAAACUAUUACUUGGACCUGGUCUAGGAACAUCAUCUCUAGACCACGGGUAACGCUCUUUCGAUCUCCAUCGUCCAGUAAAUUUAAAUAAAUCUCUUUUCAAUUUCAGAAUUUUCGAACAACCGUGAAAAUGGGAAAAAAAAAAAAGAAGAAAAAGUAAAGCGGUUCACGUGUGACGGUGUGGACCAAGUCCAGGUAAUUGUUUAUCAACCGAGCCGCAACUGGGCUCGAGUAAUCUCAUCACGGCCCACAAUAUCAGAAAGUGUGGGCCCAAGUGGGCCGAUACCAUAGAAGCCCUUUUAUCGGCCCAAUUUCGAAAACCCCUCAUUGCUAUCUUUUUUUUUUUUUUUCUCAGUUGCUCGAUCAUGUAGAGCUUAGCUCUGGAUAGCGUUCGAGAAGUAGCUCUUAAACCCUAACCCUAGAAGAGGCAACGAUCCACGUAUGGAUUCAAAUUAGGUUUUGAGAAGAGAAUUUCUGGGGAAGAGGAAAUGGGUUCUUGCUCCAACACUUGGAUUUUUGGAGGUGAAAUUUUAUGCAUAAUUAUUCAAUUUUUACUGAAUUUUUCACCCUUUUUUUUGUUGUUGGUGGUUUAAAUUGGCUGCGUUUUCCCUUUCUUUCACAGAUGGAUCGGCAUGUGCAAAAUCUCCUCGUCAAACGUUUCGGGUAUGUAAAUUUUCAAAUUUCUUGUAGUAUCUCAAUCUACAUGCGCAUCAAUUAACACUGAUGACGAGCAAUUUGAAAUAUACAGACACCAUUUGUAGGGGUAUUUAAUUUAAACAAGCUGAAAUUUCCUGUAAAACUGAGCCAAAAUUAUAGAAAACGAGAUCAGCAAUUUCCGUGUGUAAAAUGCGCCAAGAAGAAGGAUGGGCGGUUCGAUCCGUCGUCCGUCGAGCCGCCACCGUAUUACAGUUACAUGGACUCCACUUCCGGGCAGCUGGAGCCGGCAUCCGGCGCCCGGGCAAGCAUUCCGGGCAGGGAAUACUGGCCCGAAGGCACCGCCGCCCGUGUCCGGGCAGCUCGGGCACCUGAACCCCUCGGUAAAUCUCAAGGCAGGCCUUCUUAUGGCAAGAACCCCGGAAGCCGGCGGAAGAAGUAUAAAGGACAGGUGGCGGCCUCGGAAACUGCAGAAACUAGCGUGGUUGUUAAUGAGCCGCCGCCCGCGGUUGAGAACGAGAGCUCGAAUGAUGCUCCCGAUCAGACGAAGGACCCGUUGGAUGAGUAUGUUGUUUAUCGGACGGAGCCGGAGGAAGAGAAUUUAAGUCAGUAUGAGUUGGAUAAGAGAAUCGGGCGGCCGCAUCCCUUUAUCGAUCCGGCCAAGGAUAAGCCUGUGGAAGAGCCUCGGUCUAGCGAAGAUCUGUGGUGGAAUUGGCGGAAGCCCGAGAAGGAGCAGUGGUCGAGGUGGCAAAGAAGGCGCCCGGAUGUCAACACGGUUAGUUCGGAACGCUCGAUGCUUGCUUUAGAUAAUGAGCCUCUGUUCUUGAUGUAUAUCAGGGGUACAAUAGCAAAAGCAACAGGCAUUUUGUUAGCCAAAAAUGCCUAGUUUCUGAAAGCUUUUGCUUUCUAGAGUAGAGAAGUCGUUCCAGAAGUGCUGUGUGCGUGAACGCGCGGCUUGUUCAAAUUUUAACUCAAGCCAUGUAGUAUGCUAUAUCUAAUAAUAUUUGGAAAGUUGUGCGUGUAGGUGUUUGCAAAAGCAAUGGCGGAAACUGGCCAGAUAAAGCUUUUCGGAGACCACCCAACACAGACAGAAACUGCCCUCGCAAGGGCCAGAAGACAUCUGUACAAAGAAGAGCGGUAGACAUUAGCAGCCUCCUGAACUUUCUCGUAUCCAUUCAUUUUACAUUCGUGACUGUUGCUUAUAGGAUUAGCAAGUACACUACUUUGACACAGUGACUCCUCAUAGUGGAACGGUCGGUUGCUAUUUCUUUGGUUAUAGGCAAUAUAUUCCUAUAACAAUUGUUUUCUUUUCUAAUUUGACAGCGUAAAUUGAAACAAAUAUGUUGUUACCUACAAUCAAAUGGGUAUACUUCCAAUAUCUAAUAGAUAAUUGUUCAUGAGUGUUUGGAGAUCAAUCCUUGAUGUGAUUCAAAAUUCUAUUUUUAUUUGGAACUUCUGUUACAUGAUAACUGAGAGCUAUUCUUAUGGUUGAUACCACAAAUGGAGGGUACAAGCAGAACAAAGGAGAUUAGAAGAGAUUGGCCCGAUUGCGUACUAUUCGGAAUGGGUCAAAGCUUGGAACAGAGAUACUUCACGUGAGGCUGUGCAAAAGCAUUUUGAGGAAACUGGAGAAGAUGAGAACACUCAACUGAUUACAAUGUUUCAGCACCAAACAGCUGAAGAAUACCGCAUCAUGAUGGGCACCGAUAUUCGCAUACCGCGGGAUCCUUUAGCGAUGCGAAUGCGAGAAGAUCAAAUCAAAGAAAGUAUGAUAUUUCCCACUUACAGAUCUCUUACAAUUCCAUUUUCAUUUCUUUUGCUCCUUUGUUUUUCUGUGUGUGAUGUGUGUUUGUGUGUGUAUGUGUGUAUUGGGUUUUGCAUAGUGAACCUCGGUUUUGAUUCUUUUGUUAUCUUGUUACAGUAUGGGGUGGUGAUCCUGUUUAUCCAACUGUAAAUUAUAUUCAAGAUCCCGAUGAAGUAAUUGACUACAGAGGUCCAGAUUUUCAUGAGCCUACUCCUAACAUGUUGGCCUAUCUCAUGGAGGUAAAACAGGAUGCCAUUUUUCACUUUUCCAAGUAGAUGCAUAAAUAUAUUUAUUAUAAAGGUUGGGUAAAUAUGUACCUACUGUUUUGCCUGCUUUGCUGUCCUUUCUUACAUUAAAUGCGCAUAGCAAUUUCAUUUUUUUCUUCUCAGUUUCUAUAUCUCUUCACAGUGUCAAAAUGAAUUUAUUUAACUCUUUGGCUUUGAGCUUUAUAUGCCUCAAAAUCCUUGUAUUUACUGAGUUUCUGUUAUCUCAGCAAGGGAAGAUUAUAUCAAGGGAGGAGCUUGACAAAAUAUUGUCAAAAGAGAAGACUCAAGAACUUGAGGUAAAUCUUUUGGUUCUUAACUAGAGCUGAAGUUGCUCAAAAUUUUUGUGAAGAAUGCUUCAGCACAUAAUUAGCUUGAAUAAAAGAAAGAAAUUUCUCUUUUCACUCUUUUGGUUAAUUAACUUGUGGAUCUUGCUGCUGUAUCAACCAAUGCAGAUAACUGAUAUUGACGAAGCUAUGGCUACUGCAGUUGACAUCGGGGAGAAUGAUGUAUGUGAAUCCUGCAGUCUUGUCCCUUUUGUUUGCAACUGAUAUUAGUGUAUCUACAAGAUAAACUUGUUAACAUGUUUCUUUUGUGGCUUAUAGGAUGAAGAAGAUAGUGAGGAAGAGGAAGUUGAAGAAGAGAAAAUAAAUCGGAAUUGGAGUGUUCUGAAAACUACGCCACAGCUUCGCAAAUCAAAGGUAUAUUUUUUCAUAAUAGGGACCUGAGUCAAUAUUUUAUGUGAGGAAAGAGAACAUUUGCUAAUACAUAAUAAAAAGAAGAAGAGUUAUCAAAUUAAUUGCACUGUUUAAGAUUUACUGACACUGUGACCUCAAAGGAGAACAGUCUAUUCUAUUGACUUUUGACUGAAAACAUACCCUGCAUGUGAUCUCUCUUAGAUCAUUGUCUCUAGUGAUUGUCAAGGACUGCCAAAUAAUAUUGCUGCUAUUUUUCUGUGUUGCAGGAAAAACCCAAGAAAGAAGGUCCCAUGUCUUUAGAAGAGGCUGUAGAUGAUUCGGAGAACUUAACUGAUUUUCUUAUGGACUUCAAUGAAGAGGAGUGACAACAUUAGACUACUUCAAUUUUGCUGCCACAGCUAAAUCUACUCAACUGGUGAGUAUAAAGUAUUAUCUUAUUUUUACAAUUUGUGAUGGCGUGAUAUCCUCGGGAAAGUGAAAAAUUGGAAUGCAUAAAAGCACGCCUCCAAAUAUUUAAGCAAUUACUUAAAAUAGUACAAAAUAAAUUUUCUUUUGCAGAAUCUGAGAAAAGUACUGCACUUUUUCUUACAGAUAUUGUUCGAAUAAAAAUCAUUUAACUUGGCCACACCAAUCCCAAACUAAAAGCAAUCCAACCAUACUUGCAUUAGUGGUGAAAGAUGACAUUGGACACUACUGGCUGGAUGUGUCCGAAUGUUUGCUUGUUCCGUCUUUGAAUGGAAUUUAAUUCAUGCUUUAAUAGUUGUUAACCCGGAACCGACACAUUCUGAGUUUAGUUUUUGUCGAGCCAAGCCGGAAUGUCUUUGACUAAAAGCUGCACUUGGUUUUCUUGCAGAGUUCUGCAAGUCGUAUCUUGGACGAACAGAAAUCCACCACUCAAAACUUGAUGUGCGGAGUAUAUAUGUGGUUGCUUGAUUCAUCUAUUUGAGGCAUAUUCCGUAGAGAGCUCUUGCUGAUUCUAUGUGGCCGUGAAUGUUUGCCUGUAAUGUGCAUACGUAAAAUGGUGCACAUUUAAGCAACUCGAGUAUUUAGAUACUACAUGGUACAAUCAGUUGAUAGGUUGAGUUGCAGAUUUUAGAAUAUAAAAAAGUAGAAAAAUAAGCAAGUCCAAUUAGUCUCUUCUUUAGCAUGCAUCAAGGUAUCAAUCAAUAUGUUCAUUUUUCUAUAAUUAGAGAGAUGGAAAAGUAAAUGAUGCUCGCAAGAAUUUGCACAUAUACACUUGCGUAUAGGACGUACAUUUUAACCUUGUUGCAUUUGAACUCGCACAUUUCGGUCGUAGAUACAGAUUAAUAUCUGCAUGUUCAAUGACAUCUACAGAUUAAUAUCUGCAUGUUCAAUGACGUGUGUGCAUAUCAAUCAUAUUGAAUACANUUCGGGGCGGAUUCGGGGCGGGUCAAAAUUUUUUCUGUUUCCUGUCCCGAAUCCGUCUCGGAUCGUAAAACUUAUUCCGUUUCCUGCCCCGAAUCCGUUUAUUUUCUUCCAUUUACUGCCCCCGUCGGAGCGGAUCAGAGUAGGAGCUCCACCAACCCGGAUCCGUUUGCAUCCCUACUUGCGUAUACCACGUACAUUUCAACCUUGUUGCAUUUGAACUUGCACAUUUCGGUCGUAGAUACAUAUUAAAAUCUGCAGUUCAAUGACAUCUGCACAUUAAUAUCUUGCAUGUUCAAUGACGUGUGUGGAUAUCAAUCAUAUUGAAUACAUUAUUUUGCUAUCUAUUUUUGUACUACUGAUGCACGGUAAACCAAGUCUGAGAAAAUAUUACUGACAUAUAUAACUCGCAUCGUUAUUGAGUUAAUACAGUUUUCUAUCACGGUUUUCCAUUCGCAUAUAAUAUAAAACAUAGUAAAUUGACAUAAAUUGAUAAAGCUAAGCUCUGCUAGACAAUUCUUCAAGUUAGAGGCUGCAGCUUGCAAGCAGCUAUUGAGUCUAUGACCCACGUGUUGCUUGCGAUUUUACCGCUGCAAGCAUCAGCAAGAGCUUUAGCUUUGGCUCGUCGAAGAUCAAACACGACAGAAUCGCGAUUCGAAUUGCUCUUCUCUGGAUGCUCAAGGCUGUAGAUGAUGAAGGUUAAUGAAGAGUCAUCCAACAAUUUUUGUUGAUCUCUUGAGAUGGGUUUUCUUUGUAGAACAGUUCCUCCUGCUGCAGUAACAAGAUCCUGCAGAUAGCCUCUGUAGGAUAGCACAAAGUCUCCACUGAAAUAGAAUCGGAGGCCAUUAAAGAGUUUCGGUUCCUGCAGAUAAUAGCAGAAGAAUUAGGAUGGCAAAUUUGUCGAUGCGUUAGUUAUUCACCUGAGUCAUCUAUUUGUCAUUUUGUCAAACUACGAUCUCCCGGAUAGAUAGGAACAUGUUAGUCAUCAAGCUUUUGUAUGACUGCUUUAUUCUCUAUGUUCAUUUGAAUAUUUUUGAAAAGCCUGCGUACAUUUUUACCGACAUCCACAGUUCCAAUGAGUUGAUCGAUAAUGAAACCAAAGCUUACUGUUUAAUACCUCUGUUAGGAACCCUAAGCCACUGUUUGGUUGGGGGUUAAGGGGUGGAAUAACCCUUUAACCCCCAAUUUAUACCCAAACACCACUCUUAAGGGGUGGGGUUUACUAACUCCACCCCAAAUCGGAUUAGUGGGGUUUACUAACCCCACUCCCCCUCCCAACUUUAACCCCACACGCAUCCCGAGCCCUCACAUUUUUCUUCUUUAUCAAUCAUUAACCCCACUUCCCCUCCCAACUUUAACCCCGCACGCAUUCCGAGCCCUCACCUUUUUCUUCUUUAUCAAUCAUUAUUUUUUUAUCCCACCUACUCCAACCAAACACUUUUUUUCACUAUCCUAGACUAACUCCAACCUCGAACAAAACACAAAAAAACUUUAAUCCCACUUUAACCCUGAACUUAACCCUAUCCCUGGUAUAGUUACUUUUUCCUUAACCCCAAACCAAACGGAGGCUAAGAUUGUAUAUGUAGAUCAAACUGUUCAGUAGUACUUUAAGACACAGCGGAUAAUAAAGUAGGCUGCAAAACUAGGCCUAUACUUUGGAAUUAACUAAAUGAAGUGGCUAAACCGAUCUUUGCUUUUUGCAUAGCAUGUAGUUUCUCUACAUAAUUAGCAGCAAAAGUUUUAAGUGAGAAAAAUUACCUUGUUAAUGGCCUUCAAUCUUCCUAAUUUAGGUCCGCCACUAAUUCCAUGGACAUCAACAGUAAUUUCGAACUUCUCCUCAUCAACUGGUUCCAUAGCCUCCAUGCAAACUCUAAUCCCUGUUCAAGGACAUUUAUAUGAAAAUAAUAUGACUGACUUUAAAAAUCUUUUAAGAAAAAUAAUUCAUCGAGAUUAGUUGGCCUUACAGUUGAUAUUUACAAUCCAUUUCCCAUUAAGAAUGGCCAUCAAAAACUUAAGGGUUCUCUUGCAUGCCCCACUACCAUCUGUUGAUGUGAUAACAUGAGUUACUGCUGGGCUCCAGGUCUUCGUGAGCGGCACACCAGUCAUUUUCGUGAAUUGAGAAACAAUUUCCUGAACCCAAAUUUGCAGUUAGAACACUGUUAACUUAGGGAUAUUUGCCUUUAGCUGCUAAUUAAUGAAGAUCAAAACAACCUUCUCUUUAUUAGAAAGAGCCGAACAACAAAGAACCCACUUGCAUGGAGACCCAGAAGGCCAACUCCACAAAUUACUUGUAUCAUAACCAGAAUCCCUUGCUGAUGGAACUUGAGCUAUUGACCUGAAAAUGAGUAAUGCCGCCCAUAAAUUAGAGAAAUCUGAGCCAUAAAAUGUGAUAUUCCUAAUAUCUAAUUUCAUAUGUAGAUACCAGCUUAUUUAUACCCUUUUGAACUAGUUCUUUUGAUUUGCUUUUGGGCUUCAGAAGUUUCAAUCGGCAAUUUAGACGACCAAUGCAGAGGGCAUAGCAUAAUAAAGUUUUCCUGCAAUGUGGUUUAUUGAGUGCCAAUGUAGGAAUAAUACAUGAUCAAUCGUUUCACAAAUAAUGAUUGUGAAUAACAGAUAGAAGUAGAAGAAUGUAUAGCUUACAUUAUCCCAGCAGCACUCUGGGAUCAAUUUAGCACAGGUGUAGUGGAAACUCUUCCUACAGCUUUUCUCAAAGCAUCCAAGAGCGGCCCCUUUAAUGCCACAAACAAUGCAUUUUAUCCUUCUACUUCUUGCCAGUUCAGCAGCAAGAUUGAUGGCCGAAUCAUCUUCAAAGUAUACAUCAGGAGCCCUAAACGCAAAAGUGAAUCCUGCAUUUUAGUUUCACUAGGAAAAAUGGGGCUCUUACAUGUAUAUAUAUCCCUGCAAAAAUCAUCUAUUGAUGUUUGUACUCCUGUAAAAUCCAAACUUGAAAUAUAUAUAUCCCUCAAAGAGCUUCCUUUAGUUGAAGGGUCAUGCAAUUCAAGGAGGGCAUUGAUUUUGUAUUUAUACAAGGUGCUUCUAAAGAAGGGAAUUUCUGCAAGUACAAGGGCAUUAUAUGUAAUGCCCCAAUAGUCCCACAUUGAAUAAAAAAAUAAUACCGAUUGGAAUAUAUGAAACCUCACACACUAAUAAUAAUAAUUGAACUUAAAUAUUUUAGCCCGGUGGUUUGAGUGCAACGAGUUAUUGUUGCUGGCAGGUCGGGUCAUUAUAAUUAAUAUCAUAGCCAAAUACCAAACGAAAGUGUGAGAGUUAAGUGCUAUGCAGGACAAAGUGCUACACCAACGGAUUUGAUGGGAGCCACCUCUUAAACCCGUACGAGUCACCUCUAGAAUUUCACAUCGCCUGAUAAUCCUGAUAUAUAUUGUCCGUUUUGGUUUGGAGUUUGGACCCGACGAGGACAUGAGGAUAUAAACAGAGGGAGUUUGUAACACCCUAAUAGUCCCACAUUAGAUGAAAAAAUAAUUCUGAUUGAAAUAUAUGAGACCUCGCAGCUAAUAAUAAUAAUAACUAAACUUAAGAAUUUUGGGGACGGUGGUUUGGACCUAACGAGUUAUUAUUGCUAACAGGUCGGAUCGUUACAUAUAUAUACACUAACCUAUAGAAGGGCAUACGAAAACUCAGAUGCACAGGUAUAUAAUUAAUAGAUGCUUUUAAAGUUAUGUGUAAUACCUCUUAGUACCUCUUAAACAAAAAGGCAACAAAUUAGAUAGAAAACUCAAAGACUCACCAUUCAGUGCAGUUCUUGUGAGAGUGUAUGACAUUGGUCCCUCCACUAUAAUCUGCAGCUACUGGUUUGCCAUUGAAAUAAUGCAUCAUCUCUCCAGAAUCCUGAGGAAUUGUUCAGCACAAACUUUCUUUAUUAGCCUCGAAUAAGUCGCAAUCAACAGUGUAUUGGCAAUUGAUCGCACAAAUUUACCUCAGUGAUAUCAGCAGACUUGCAGAAAGCACAGACAACUUCAGGUGUAUAUUCACAUUUCUUCAGAACACAAUCAGUUGCUAUACUUUCCCCAUCCUUUUUAAGCUUUCUCACAGCUAAUGUAUCCGAUCUUUCACUAACUGCAUUGUUUCGUAACACAGCAGAGUCCAUUGUUGCAGGAGAAAUCAUAAGCUUAGCUCUUGCAGUUCUUCCACAUGUUUUUGAGUCAUAUUUCUGUCUAUUUACAAUCUUUGUCCCUUUUGCAGCUGUUGCAAUGCAAGAAUCUUUGCCAUCUUUACUUUUAUCGUCUAGAAAUUCUGGUACUGCUUUCAUCUUCGUGGUAUUUUUUCUGCCCAUUUUUCUCUUACUGACAGAUCCUGUAGGAAUUCCUUCAGUGAUUUCAUAUUUAACAUCAUCAGAUGUUUCCUUGAUUCGCUUUCUGUGGUUCUCCAAGCUGCUUGUCUUACUCCGUUUUUGAGCUUUUAGCAGAAUGUUUGAAUCCACUUUCUCUCCAUUCUUAUCGUUCACUCCUAUUGAUAUAGCUGGAAGCUGAUCGGAUGGUUCAGCCAAAGCCUGAUCUGUAUGGGUUAUUGGCAUUUCACCAGAGUUUAAAUUUUGGUGCGCAAGUAAAUGGUUACUGCUGUGAAUAUAUUUUCCUCUUGUUGUUGGAGGACUACUUUUAUCAGUAUCCUUGCGUACAUCAUUUGAAUUUUGAAGCAUUCCACUAGGAUUAUUCGUAAAUUCUUGGUGGGCAUCACUUGCUAUAUUAUGAGUAUUUCCACAAAUGGAUGAUUUCGCUCUCUUCUUCUUUGUUAUAUUGUUUCUCUUCCUAUUCUUUGAACCUCCUUUUCUGGCAUCAACCGUUUUAGGUUCAGCAUUUGUAAGACAAACAUUAUCACAUAAUUCUCCAACCUCCAUGAUUCCUCGGCAAUCUCUCUCUUGUAUCUGAUCAAGUUUUUGCCUGCCUUUAGUCUAAAUCAGCAGAAAUCUCUAUGUUAAGUGAAGAUUAAAAAGAAAGAAUCUGCUAUAAAUAAAAUGUAGCAUGCAAAAAUAAAAAAGACUUGAGUUCAAUUGAAUUACACACCAGUUUUUUCCGUGGUGUUGAACAUAGUUCAGGAGAGCAAGCCCUUUGAGUCCAUUCAAACAAUUCGCUGUCAAAAGCUUCCUGAGCCUUGGCUUUGCUCUGCACUCAAUGUUGUCAACUUAAUGACGUCAAACUUGGAGACCAAAAGAAAUUAUAUUCACUUAAUUACAAAAAUCUUACUUCUGGAGUCAUACUACAGGGCGCCUCAUCGUCUGAAUCUUUGAUAUCACUAAAACAAGGAGCAUUAUGUGAUGGAGGUGUAUCUAUUGUCUGCUGCACACUAGGUCUCUCAGCAUUUUCUUCAUCAUCUUCUUCCCUCAGCCAGAAAAAGGGUGAAAGAGAAGGACUUCCCUUGUUGUCAUAAGGUGCAACUGCACAGUUAUCUGUUUUAACAUCAUCCUGGGGCUCACUGCAUGAGUGUACUAACUUCAAGGCCUUUUUAGGCCUUUUUGGAGUCUCAGAUAUGGGGAAUGGUGUGACAUGAAUCCGUUUCUUUGCAGGGAAAGAAGGCUCUGUCGAUGGACGAGAAACAGGAUUCCGCGCAUUAGCUUUGCGCAGUCGCUUUUGUUUCUUCUUAUUCUUUUCUUUUCGUUCGUGUGCCGCUGAGGUUUCUGGUGCAUCGACAUUGUUUUCUUCAUCACCUUGUUUUGCUCCAUCUUUCAGCAUGAUUUACAAGAGGAAAGGGUUAGUAAUCAACACUCGAGAUUAUUAUUUGAUGCGAGCCUCGUCACUUGGCAUUUCUUGAGCUUUUAAGUAAACAGUAUCUGUAUCUGAUAGAGGACCGAAAGGACUAGAGAUCGCUUCAUACUUACCUGUAUUUUUCGCUGCGGGAGCUAAUUGAGUUGACAAAAUGCUAGUUCCUGUUGCAACCUCCAUGCUCUUGAAAAUGCUAACCAAGUUAUCCAUGUGAGGAGCAGCACGGACUUCUGCAACCACAUUGAACCAUAAUGAUUGCGACAAAGAAUUACACGUAAUUUAUAGCGAAAGAAAAGAACAAUCACACAUGAAAUGAACAAAUUAGACUGAUCCUAAUGUUUAAGCUAUUGUAGGACCAAAGUUCUCAAGGAAUUUGCAGAGAUCUGUUAUAAAAUGCUGUAUAUAAUCGUCGCUUAGCACAUAAGAGAUGAAAAGAGAUCAAGAGUAACGAUCCGACUGAGAUCCUAGACCAAAAUUCAGCAUAUACAUUAAAGAAUGAGACCAUUAUGAUACUCAAUCAAUAUCAUGAUCUCAACAAAAUUCAAACUAGUUGAAGCACAAUAUCCAUGACCAUGUAUAAUUGCAUUUAUUAUAGAUAAUCUAAUCAACUUGAUGUAUUGCCCAAUCUAUCUAAUCACAACAUGUUUUGUUCGAAAAGUUUUUAUCCUGCAAAGUAUACUAUUUCAAAUUCAAACAAACCUCUACGACGAAACGGAACUUUGCAAACCGGGCAGCUGGAGACGGUUUUCAUCGACUCGAGAAUGCACGAGCUGCGAAAAAAAACAAAAGUGACACAACGCCAAAUCAAACAACAAAUCACUCCUCUUAAUCCUAUGGAAUUAAAAACACCGAAUUAAAUCUUUUACGAAACGAGCAAAUCGAAACUUACUUGCAGAAGACAUGAUUGCACGAGAUCGAUGCCGCAGAUCGCAACAGGCUCCAGCUGCGAAAAGAGCAAGCGAAAAUUGGGAACGAGAUUAUCGGGAGUAAAAGAAAAACCCUAAACUAGCUAUGAAUUGGGGAAAUUGACGAAUUUAAACUCGAAAUCGAUGCAACGAAAAGGGAAAUGAAAAAGGGAAAAAUUGAAAGGAGAGAAGGUAAUGAGGCGAUAGAGGGGAGGGGGCAAGUAGUACCAAAUGGGGCACUCGAGCUCUCUACCCAUUUUCUCCAGAUGGGCUACAUCCGCCAUUGUUUUGCCCUAAGAAGAAGAGGUUGGGAGAGAGAGAGAGAAACAGAGAGAGAGAGAGAGAGAGAGAGAGAGAUUUUGAGGGGAAUUAAAAUGAGGAGAUAUGCGUAAGAUCGGAUGAUCGUGUUCGCUAAUCCCUCGCGCCGUGUACGGUUUUGUCUUUGGGACGUUUAAAUUUUUUGGCGGCAAUUUUCCCUCCGCCGAUAUUUUGCUUCAGCUUCGAAGAGGUGCGAAAAUAUCUGUGCUAGUAUUAGGGGUGGCAAUCCGACUCGUGUUCGGCUCGAAAUGAGUUUGAGAUUGAAAUAUUGAAUCACUCGUUCAGCAAACAAGUCCAGCAUAAGUUAAAAUUUUUGUCUUGUCUAAUAAACGAGUCGAACACGAGCUACGGUCAGCUCACUCGUAUUCGGCUCGAUAUCAGCUCGAAUAUAUAUAUAUAUAUUUUAUAUUUAUAUAUAUAAAUUAAUAAUUAUAUAUGUAUAUAAUAUAAAUUUUUAUUAUUUGAUUUUUAGUUCAACCUAAAUAUAAAGCCCAACUCAUUUAUAAAAUGAUCAUUUAUCUGUAAAAUUUUAAUUAUUAGAUCAAAGUAUGACUGACGGGUAAUAUUUUAUAAAUUUUUUUCUUAUAUAUAUUCUUUUUAAUACUUUUAAAUUUUUAUUCAUAAGCCAUCUCGUAUUCGGAUCGAUAUUUUAACGAGCCAGUUUGUGUUUGGCUCGUUUAUGAAACGAGCCGAUCCCAAUUCGCUCAUGUUCGGCUUGUUGACACUCCUAGCUAGUAUAAAAUGCAGGAAAACAAAACCAAAAAGAAAAAAAUUUGUGUAAAAUUGAAUCCAACUGGAGUGCUUCUAACAGUAUACAGAUAAUGUUUGCUGUCAAUUUUUUAAUUUUUGAAUGUCUAGAAUUUAGUAAUAAUAUGUGAAAUAGUAUUUGAUAUAAAAAUUUAAAAACUUGAUAGUUUGUACCAUUUAUAUACUAAUAAAAAAUUUAAAAUUGUACUUGUAAAAUUUUAUAAUGUUAUACUGUUAUUAUCUGGAUGUUAACUUUUCUGCAUUAAUCUUAUUAUUGUAUGAUUUUAAACAUUAACAAGUUAAAAAAUAUAUGAAUUCUUGAAUGGUGGUUGUAAGAUUUACGACCAAAAGGUUGGGCGUGCAAAUACUUAAAAAAAAAAAAAUUUAAAAAAAAUGCAUUAUAAGUAUAUAAUAUACGGAAUGUUAAGUAGUAAAUUUGUACAUUCGUGCAUCAGGAAACCAUACUUCAUCCAUCACAAAUUUUAUUUCUGAACGAAGGAUUGCAAAUAUUUCGUAUGAUAUGAGAUUUACAACAGGUGGGUUCAUGUUUCGCCUGAACAAAUUUGUAUAAUUGUUGUUCAAGUAAAUCUCUUUCUUAAACAGCUUCACCUUCUUAAUUAGUAGAUACAUUAACAUUCGAAUUGCGAAAGAGAAGUGUAGCUUCUUUUAUGUUCUUCACCUCUUAGCCAAAAUUGUGAUUUUAAAUUACAUAAACUAUCAGUUUACCAAUAAUCCUUGCAAGAACAUGCUCCCCCUCUAAAAUGAUGGAAUCUACUCCGAUCCCUCACCACAAUUUCUCUCUCAUAAAUCUUCGAAAUAAGUUUAGUCACCAAAUGGCAAUCUGCGCACACCCUCAAGUUCUUCACUAUCCGAAUCGGCGUCCCAGGCGCCGACUUAAGCAGUGCAAAAGCAAUGGCCAGCCUCUCACUGUGGUAGUUCAGCGCGGUCUCCUUUUCCUCCUCUUCAAUAUCAGCCAACACAUUGGUCGUCCGCGGAGCGUACCCUUCUAGUCUUAGCCUCUUCGCAAUUUCUUCGAGCUUCUCGUAUAUCUUCUCGCUCUCGGGAUGCGACCUAUCUCCCAUCACAAACUCGUACACGUAGUUGCCCAAUUCGACGAGGCUAUGGCCGGGCGUUUUCCUCACUCCGCCCUUCAACAUGCUCCGUCGAAGCCUGUGCACGUCCGCCCACCUCCCAACUGCGGCAUAGAGGUUAGAUAGAAGCACGUAGUCGCCGCUAUGUCCAGGGUCAAGUUCCACAAGCCGAGCCCAUGCGGCCUCCCCGAGAUCCAGUUUCUUGUGCAUCGCACAAGCGCCGAGCAAGGUCCUCCACACCACGGCAUUUGGCUCCGACGGCAUGUUUGCUAUGUAGUCGUGCGCCUCCUCGACCCGACCAGCUCUUCCCAACAGAUCAACCAUGCAACCGUAGUGCUCAAUCUUCGGUACGAUGCCGUACUCCUCUCUCAUUCUGUCAAAGUACCUAAACCCGUCAUCGACCAACCCGCAGUGGCUGCAAGCGUACAGCACCCCGAGCAAUGUGAUCUCCGUCGGGACAAGACGCUCCCUCUCCAUGACACGAAACAACUCGAGGGCUUCCUCACCAAGCCCAUUCAGCGCCAAUCCCACAAUCAAAGAAGUCCACGACACCACCGUCUUUGCCACGCCCAUUUCAUCGAACACCUUGUGAGCAUCCUCGACGCUCCCACACUUCGCAUACAAGUCUAUAAGCGCAUUCCCCACAUGCGAAUUCCGAUACAACCCAACCUUAAUGAGAUAAAGGUGAACCCUCCGUCCCAACGCCAAUGCGCCCAGCUCAGCGCAGGCGCAUAGCAAGCUAACCAGAGUGAACCCGUCGGGCUCGACGUCACCACCACCGCCGCCAUUUUCCGCGGUCAUCUCCCUGAACAGAGUAAGCACCUCAUUAGGCCUACCAUUCAACGCGAACCCAUUAAUUAUCGAGUUCCAGGUAACGAGAUUCCUCUCGGGCAUUCUCUCGAACACCUUGUAAGCGCUCUCAAAAAGGCCGCAGGCGCCGUAGAAGUGGACCAAACUGUUUUGCACGAACACCAAGGUUUCUAGGCCGUUCUUGAGGGAUUGGGCGUGGAUCUUUUCGCCGUCGCGGAGCGCCAUGAGCUUGGCGAGGGCCUUGAGGAGGAAAGGGUAAGUGUGGGAGUCGGGGGGCGCGCCCGCGGCGCGCAUGCGUCGGUGGACGAGGAGCGCGGGGCCGGGGAUGGGGCUCUCGGCGUAGGCGCGGAUCAUGGUGUUGAAGGUGAACACUGUGGGGUUGGGGACGAGGGAGAAGACGCGGUGGGCGUAGGGCAAGGGGGAGGGGGAGAGCGCGGCGAGGGCGAAGACGAGGUGCUUGGCGAGGAGCGGGUGAGCGAGGGGAACGCGCGUGCGGAUGGCGUGGGCGUGGAUCUGCUUGAGCGCGGCUAGGGUUUUGGGGCAUGUUUGGAGGAGGGCGACGCAGCGGUGGAGGGUCGGGGGUUUAGGGUUUGGGGUUGGGGGUGGGGAGGAGGAGGAGGGAGACGACGCCGCCUCCGAACUCGCCACCUCUCUCUCUCACUCUCUCUCUCUCUCUAUCUCACGAUCUCGGUCUCGGUCUCUGUUGCUCAUUGGGAGAAACGGUCUCCGUAUAUGCUUUGGUUUAAUCAAUAAAUGGGAAAUGUUGCUGGAAAGUCGCCCAAUGUUGCCCAAUGUUGCUGGAUCGCUAGACCGUCUCAAACAAUUGAUCGACAACUGGACUACAUUGCUCUGACGAUCCUCUUGUACCUCUCCUCCCUGCACCACUCUCCGUUGGGACUUUGAUCUCCCUUCCUCUUUCUUUUGUUUUUAAUUUAAUUUUGAGUUUUGCCGACUUUUCGGAGGCCUAAGCUGCUUUCAACUUGUAUGCCCAGUUUAUUUUAUCUAAUGAAUGAAGCAGGUAGCUUGCUAUCUAUUUCUCAAAAAAAACUAAAUGAAAAAUUUUCACUUAAAUUUACCUGGAAAUUAUAACCUCUGCUUCAAUUUCUAAUUUAAUUAAAUUCAGUUUAUUAUUUGAUAAAAAUAAAAACUACUUUUAUUUUUAAAUUUUCUUUCUUGUCUCUGAGCUUGCCACUUAAAUAACUUUUUUUUUUUUUUUCUCUCGUAGAAGUUUUUUGAAAGUUAGAUGCUCGAGUGCCCCAUUAAUAAAGGCUAAUCUAAGAAGUCAUAUCCCAGAGUUUUGUUCUUAACUAAAUUAUUAUUUUAAAAGGACCUUUAGCAAAAUCUUUUUUUAACAAUUUUUUUCGUCACCACCGUCCUUAGCGUAAGUAUAAAAGAACUUGGUGAUAAAUAUUUGAGUUUUUAAAUUUAAAAUCUAAUUAUUUUUUAUGAAAUAGUCAAGAUGAAGCCAAACUCAUUCCAUGUCUUAUUCGCUUCAACGUACUCUCAUAAGUACACAAACAUGCAUCAGAUACACACAUCUUAAUUAAAACUAAACGCAGCUACCGGAGCUCAGAUGCUCCUCCAUUUAUUUCCAAAUUAUUUCUUCCUCCAACUCAAGGUAUCCUGCACAAUUUUUUUUUUUUACAACAAAUAAACCUUUUUAAUUAGUCAAUCAAAGCAACUAAAUUCAACAUAAUUAUCGAAAAGCUCAACAUUACUUAAUUCGGUUAAAAUUUCUAAUCUUAAGUUAAAAUAAUGAACUCGAAGAGAUAAUUAUAAAAGAAAACAAAAAACAAUUUAUACAAAACAAUCAUUUUUUCUCAAAAAUUAUAAUUAAGCUAUCAAAAAACAGUAUUUUACGCUCACUGGUUGCACUUGUUGAGGUCUAUGAAGAAGUUGAGCGGCACGGCACACUGGCGCGGUAGGGCGUUGACGAGGUCGUAGCGGAGGCUCUUCAUGCGCGACGCUGCGCUCCUCAUGCAGUUGCAGGCGAGGCGGCGGUCGGCGGUGGUGGCCGCCAUGGCCUUCAGCCGCCUCACGCCGCCGCAGCACGGCCCCGUCGGCCUCGCCUGCUGCCCCGUCAGGUACUUCACGCACUGCGCCAAGUUCGAGCUCACGUCCCCGCACGACAGCGCCUGCGCCGGCUCCGCCAUCACGUACGCCGCCACCGCCGCCGCCAUCACCAACGUCGCCAGUGCACGUCUCAUUUUUCUCUUUUUUCCUUCUUUUUUCACGUACUAAUUACGUAUGAUAUAACUAUAAUAUGUAAUUGGAUAGUGGUGUGGGAGCUCCAGUUAACUAUGAGAAUCAAAUUGGACAUGCUAUAUAUAACAUUUUGGCAGGGUAUAUUUACAUAUAAAUUAAGGACCUUUAUCUUUGAAUCGAGAAAUAUAAUGACGAGAGAUUUUGCAUGGUAGUACAUCAAUGUUGGUGAUGGAUAUAUAUGUACAUGUAUAGAGGAGGUGGCUUUGAGUUGAGGGGACACGUAGAGUUAAAGCGUGGUGUGGUGACACGCUUAUAUACGAAACAUAUUUACGUAGAUGGUGACAAUGUAUAUAUUAAUGCGUAUGCUGCGAAGGAGGGAACAAAUUUGGAACGGAAUUAUGGGAAAGAUGCAUGUAACUUAGAGAGAGAGUAGUAACGGCGUUAGUUAUAUACUUAUAUUUACAUAGGUUCAAUUAUUUAUUGCUCAUCAGCAACAAAAUUAUACGUGCGUGCAAAAUUUUUGUGCAAUUCGAAAUUCAAGGGAAGCACUUUGGGAAGUAGCUAGAGGACUUUAUUUGGAUUUGCUUCGUUAUUUAUUGGCUUAUUGCAUAUCGGGUCAAGCCCAAGGCCCACAAAACCCGAUCCGUUACCAGUAUACGCGAUUCGUUGGAGAGUUUGCAUGGGCUCAAAAUGCUAUACAAAGCCAUUGAAAUAUUUUCAUGCAAACCAACGUAAGCCCGUUGGUUCCCAACACGUUAUGGUGCAUCGCAUCAACUCUUUUUUCUAUAUUGUUUCUCUCUUCUUAUACGAUGAUAAUUUUACCAUUUCAAUUAUAAAAUAUAUAUGCAGGUAUUUUUCCAAAAAUACAUACUGAUUAUUUUUUGCUAUUAUAUUAUUAUUUUUCUCGCCUGUAUUACAAUUUAUCCUCUCUUUUCUUCCAAAUAAUUUUAUAAAAAAUAAUCAGCAUGUUUAUAAUUAAUAUAUGAGAUGACCACGCGACAUUAAAUUAAGGUAGCUCAUAUAUAUAUAUAUAUAUAUAUAUAUAUAUAUAUAUACAGAGUCCGGCUACUAUACAAUUAUGAGUACGAUCGUCCUCGUACUCAUAAGUUGUUUUCGAUGAUAGAGCUUUCGAAUCGACGAUCCACACCGUUAAACGUUAUUUAGAGCAUUUGAAAUAUCUAGAAAUCAAAUUUUAUAAUUUUUCGACAUCAUUUACCUUACAAUCAAAAGAUCACAAAAUUGACAAUUUUUAACGGCCGGUAUGGAAUACUUGCUAGUUUAACGGUGCAAAAGAAUCCGAAUAGGUUGAAUUUUUUGAUCAAAAAUUAUAUUCAUACCUAGAUAAAAAUUAUAACUCCGAUCUUAAAUUGAAAGAUCCGAUCAUACCAUUUUUAAAACAAUCGUUCGAUUUUGACCGUUCAAUUUAUACCCGCUUGAUGACUUUAUUAAUUUCGGAAAAAUUAGAAUUUAUUUUCUAGAAGUUUUAAAUACUUCUAGAUCAUAUUUAACGAGUGGAUCGUCGAUUUGAAAGCUCCAUCAUCGAAAAUAAUUUAUGAGUACGAAAGACCCAAUAUUAUAAUAGUAUAGUAGCUUUACUAUAUAUAGCUUUACUAUUAUAUUAUAAUAUAUUAUAUAUAUUAUAUAUAUAUAUAUAUAUAUAUAUAUAUAUAUUAGUAUAGAGUAGGGCUAGAAUACUUUUACAAGUAUCACCCAAGUGAUACUUGUGUUUUAGCCAUUGGAUCUACUUUUUAUUAAUAAUAGUCCUUGAUCAAACACUAUUCAACCUACCACACCUACCACCACCUACCACGCUAUCUCAACCUUACAUACUCCCAUCCAAGGGCUAAAAACAACAAGUAUCACUUGGGUGAUUACUUUUACAAGUAUUCUAGCUCUACUCUCUCUCUCUCCUAUCAUAUAUAUAUAAUAUAGAGUUGAGCUAGAAUACUAUCGAGUAAACGGACCGUUUUACUUUUACUAUCGAUUUGUUUUUGAUGAUAGAGCUUCCAAAUUGACGAUCGGCUUCGUUAAACAUAAUCUAUACACUGAAGUGUUUAGAAAAUCAAAUUCAAAUCUUUUCGACAUCAUUUGCCUAAUUGGUCAAAGGGUUUUCAAAAUUGUAAUUUUAAUUAUUGAUAUGAGACGUUUUCUCGUUUAACGGCGUAAAGAUAUCCAAAUCAAUUGAAUUUUUGUUAGAAAAUUCUUUAAACUAUUUAAAACAAGAUCUAUACUCUUGAUCUUGAUUACAAGACUCUUAUCAUCAUUUUUUAAAGAGUAUUCAUUUUCAGCCAUUCAUUUUUCUGUUCACUUGAUGAAUAAAAGAACAAUAUCGAAAGUGCGUGAAAUUUGAUUUCUAUAUAGUUUAAAUGGUUUAGAUCAUAUUUAACGGAGCCGAUCAUCAAUUUGGAAGCUCUAUCAUCGAAAACAAAUCGGUAGUAAAACGGCUCGUUUACUACCGAUAGAAUACUAUCGGUAGUAAACGGAGCUAGAAUACUAUCGGUAGUAAAUGAGCCGUUUUACUACCGAUUUAUUUUUGAUGAUAGAAUUUCCAAAUUGACGAUCGGCUCUGUUGAACAUGAUCAAAUUUCGAUGAUAUGAGCACAUUAUUGGCUACUGAGACAGUAAAAGAGAAAAUUAAUUACAUAGGAGUAAAAAAUUAAAAGGAAAAAAUAAAGUCCACGGCAUCACGUGAGAGUGUCAGUCGUGGCGUCACCAUCGGCAUCAGGCUUCCUUCCCCUUGAUUCCUCCGCCAACCUUUUUCAAAGCUCGAGCUCCUCCUCCUAAUGUUCUCUCUCUCUCUCUCUCUCUCUCUCUCUCUCUCUCUCUAUAUAUAUAUAUAUAUAUAUAUAUAUAUAUAUAGUGAGGCUACUAUGCUAUCGGAAGCACGGAGCCUUCUGUACUUCCAGCUCGUUUUCGAUAUUGCGAUUUUCGAAUCGUCGAUCGGCUCCGUUAAACUUGAUCUAGAGUAUUUGGAAUAUAUAUAAAAUAAAUUUUAUUAUUUUUCGAUAUCAUUUGCCUAUUGAUCGAAUGGGCUCAAAAUUAACAAAUUUCAAUGGCCGUAGUGAGCCGUUUGCAAGUUUAACGGUGUAGAAAUAUCCAAAUCACGUGAAAUUUUGAUAGAAAAUUCUUUAUAUUAUAUAAAACAAGAUCAAUAUUUUUGAUUUAAAAUUUUAAUGUCAUAUUAUUACAUUUUGUAAGAUUUUAUUUUUCACUGUUGAUUUUGAGCCCCUUCGUUCACUAGGCAAAUGAUAUCGUAAAAUUAUAAAAUUUAUUUUCUAGGUACUUCAAAUACUCUAGAUCAAGUUUAACGAAGCCGAUCGACGAUUCGAAAGUCGCAACAUCGAAAACGAGCUGGAAGCACGAAAGGCUCCAUGCUUCCGAUAGCAUAGUAGCCUCACUCUAUAUAUAUAUAUUAGGAGCAAAGAAAUCUCCGCACUUCUAAGUAGUUUUUGAUGAUAGAGCUUCCGAAUCAAUGAUCAGCUCUGUUAGAUUUGAUUUAGGGUAUUUUAAAUAUUUUUUUAAAAAAUUAUAAUUUUUCGAUAUCAUUACCUAACGAUAAAAAAUGUUCAAAAUUUGAAAGGUGUUCAAAAUUUGAAAGGUUAAAAAUAAUAUUUUUUUAUUAACAUUUUAAACAAAAUAAAAUAAAAAAUUUAGAAAUUUUUCAAAAAUAUAUAAGCAAUUGUUUCUAAAUAUUAAAUUAUCUUAAUCCGAAGGCCAACUAUUUCACUGCGUGGACACGGUCCACCAAUCCAAGUUACCACAACAAGACACGUCAUCUAGUAGUUUAUUUUAUUUUAUUUUAUUUUAUUUUUUUUUAAAUGCUGUUUUGUCAACAACUUCCCCACAAUUCAUAAGAUUCAAACUUUUAUUCAAAAAUUUAGUGGUUAGAAUUUUAUGGCCAAAGUUAAUUUAUAAAAUAUUAUAAAAUUUGAUUGUAAGUAAGUAUAACAUUAUUCGUAAGUUAAAAUAUUAUAAUAUUAUCCAUAUAUCAUUUUUUUUUUGUUAGGGUCUAACAUUCGUUUGGCAUUUUAUAAACUCUUAGCCCCCGUUUGGUUCGGAGUUAAGAAAAAAUAGCUAUUCCAGAAAUAGGGUUAAGUUCAGGGUUAAAAUGGUGUUAACAUUUUUUUGUGUUUGGUUGGAGGUUGGAGUUAGUCUAGGAUAGUGAAAAAAAGUGUUUGAUUGGAGUAGGUGGGAUAAGAAGAUAAUGAUUGAUAAAAAAGAAAAAUGUGAGAGCUCGGGAUGCCUGCGGGGUUAAAGUUGGGAGGGGGAGUGAGGUUAAUGAUUGAUAAAGAAGAAAAAGGUGAGGGCUCGGGAUGCGUGCGGGUUAAAGUUGGGAGGGGGAGUGGGGUUAGUAAACUCUACUAACCUGGUUUGGGGUGGGGUUUACUAACCCCACCCUAAAAGAGUGGUGUUUGGGUAUAAAUUGGGGGUUAAUGGGUUAUU